AGGAUAUGAAAUGGUGAGAUCGAUAAAUUCGAAAUCAUCAUUAUAUUGUUGUUCUUAUUACAUUAAUAUAGAUAUAUGUAGCCACUAUAUAUACCUAUUAGAGUGAAUACGAUACCAAUGCCCCACAAUUUGUUGUCCUGACACAAUCGACCGGAUUCGCUGCGUUGUAGUCAAAACAGAUGACGACUUCCUGCAGAUACGCGAUCCCCCCGUCCUUCUUGCACAUAAGAAGAGGUGUUUUCCCUCCUAUAGUCCGUCGAAUGGCCGAUUCAAGGUCGAUGUAAUGAUAUUGAUAUCCUGGUACAAUCCCAGUUGUUUGAGAAAAUAGAUGUUGUGCAUUGUAGGUCAACCAUAAUCUAUGAGCUUCGUGGAAGUAUUGUGUCUGGGAAAAUUUAUUGUCCGAGCACCUGCCGUGCUUGUUGUACUCUUGCGCCCAGAAAUCCAUAUUUGUCCGUCUAUUGUUGAAGCUGGGCCAGGAAUUGGACAAAAGUAAUUGCAGAUUAUGAUCAGCAAUCAUCUGAAGCACAAAGACGAGAAGUUACAAGCAUUUCAGAGAGCUGCAGGAGAAAAAAAACAAACUGAAAUGAGUAUAUAUAUUCAAUGUGUACCUGAUUUCUGUUGAAUAGGGUGCCAGCGCAGAGUAUAGGUGCAGAUGGAUCGGUAAAGUUGCUCGGCCAGAGGCCGUGUGUCGUAAAGGUAUGCCGUAGAACUUGUUGGUUUCCACAAAUUCCAUUCCCAAGGCAGAAGACGUAUUGGAAGAUAUCAUAUGGUGUGGCAGCAUUGCUCUUUCCGACAUAAGUGACGAAGCAAAGAGCGAUGACAACGAGAACAUGUUGUGCGGAAGCGUCAAAUGUGAAACCAAUAAACUACAACGGCAAAAUAUGAUAAACUACAAUGGCAAAAUAUGAUAAGACAAAUAAUCUAAAUAACACAAGGAUUUAUACUGGUUCGGCGUAAGCCUACGUCCAGUUCCGAGACGGCGAGGAAAUUCCACUAAUAUCAAAAGGAGAUUACAAAUAGAGUUCAACACUCAAACCCAAAUCCCACAUACACCCAAUAGCUUUCACUCAUAUAAAGAACAAAUAGAGAAGAAGAAACACAUACCAAAUCCUUCUCUCCCAAAAGCCACAAAAUGUAGCAAUAUAUCUUUGAAUGAAUGAUUGCACAAAUGGAGAACAGUAAAACAGCAGCACUCAAUUUUCUUCUCUAUCGGCUGCUCUCUGUUUUCUGCUAUAUGCUGCCGCUGAGUUUCUGCUCUCUUUUUUUCUGCUAUCUGCUGCCGCUGAGUUUCUGCUCUCUUUACUGACCAAAAGGCAUGAAUUGCCUUAUAUAAGGCUGGUGCCUUUUAAUUAAACCCUAGCUGCCAUGUGGCUUUCAAAUGGGUAACAAAAGGCCAAACCUAUUUGGGUUUGAGACAAAAAACUAAAGGCCCAAGAAGUAUUGAGCCACAAAAUCCAACAGAACAAUCUUGAAGAAGUGCAUGGUUGUCAACCAAUUAUCAAAAGAACAAAGGGAGGGAGGGAGGAUGGGAUGAGAAAUAACAAGGAAAGCUAAAGAGUGAAUGAAGUGUGAAUUUUCAAAGAAAUGAAGAGGUGUUUAAAUAGUUAGAGUUGAGGUUAAGGGUAGGGUUUGGAGAAAUUAAUUAAGGUGAAGCUAACUAGCAAAGAUGAUAAUAAUUAAGGUCAAGUAAGUGUGAACAGAUCCUGAACUAGGGAAUGCCUCUUUCUUGUUAUGCAAGGCUUUGCAUUCUCAUAUGCAUGCUAUAAAGGGUGGUAACCGUGUAGUGGUUGAUUCAUCAACAACCCAAUCAACCCAAUUAUAGCGGUUCCUCAUAUAUCAGAUUCAGACCCCAAGCAAGCUAAUAGUCUCAAUUUUUAGAUUAUAAUUCUAUUUCAGAAAGCCAUUCAGGACCACGCUAGCUAAAUAUGGUUCCAAUCGAAUAUAAACAGAAACGAUUUGGACAUUGUUUAUGUAUCUUAUCUUGUAAAUUGAAGUUUCAACCACUACCUUCUAGCAGUGGUAAUUCUUAUCUUUGAAAUUUUGGAGCUCUCCUCUCCUCUUCAUGGUUUCUAUUCAACUUACUUAUCCCGGUUGCAGAUAAUUAAUUAACUUGUGGAUUAAGUAAAUAGCUAUUUCAAUUUGCUGCUACUCACCCUGGAGCUAGCCUUCGGACCGGGGAAAUCAUAUUGUCCUAUAGACACCCGCGCUUCGUCGCUGCAAGGCGACACCGCAGGGUGGAUAUCUGCGGGUACUCAUCAUUUCAUUUCAUGGUUGUAUUGCUUCACAUUUGCAGAUUGUUAACACAACAUGCCUUCUGUUUAGUUAAUUCAUUAAUCAAACAUGAUCAAAUAUACAACAUACAAAUUGUUAGAAUUGAGGUCAAGUGUAGAGUGUAGAGAAAGAUUAAGUUGAAGCUAGCUAGCAAAGGUGAUAAUAAUUAAGGUCAAGUGAGUGUGAACACAUUCGGAAUUAGGGAAUGCAUCUUUCUUGUUGCCCACGGCAAUGCGUUCUCAUGCUAUAAAGGGUAGUAACUGUGUAGUGGACGAUUCAUCAUCAACCCAAUUAUAUAAAGUGGUUCAUCAUAUAUCAGAUUCAAACCCUAAGCUAGCUAGUAGUCCAAAUUUUAGAUUAUAAUUCUGUUUCAAAAAUCCAUUCAGGACAACGCUAGCUAAACAUGGUUCCGAACGAAAAAAUACAGAAACGAUUUAGGCAUUGCUUGCGUAUCUCAUCUUGUAAAAACGUACAACUUACAAUACACUUAAUUUCGAACAUUGUUUGAGUAUCUCAUCUUCUUCGUUGAAAGGCAACACCGCAGGGUGGAUAUCUGCGGGUAGCCAUCAUUUCGUUUCUUGGUUGUAUUGCUUCAUAUACUCGUAAAUUUUUAUCGACUCCAAGUUUCUUAAAGACAUCCAUAAUUUGAACAACAAAAGGAUUUCAUUACUUUCGAUAUCUACGUACACAUGUACUUGUUGUUGCCUUCCGUGACCGAAACCAUACUCUUCACAUAUACAACGGGCGAAUGAUUUGCUUUGCACAGUGGCAAAUAAUACGGUUGCGGAGGAAAAAUGGGAUUGAUCCUUACAGCACUUUGAAUGGGAAGAUUUUUAAGCUUCUUAGUACGGAAGUUAUAGCAGACUAUGCCUCCAUUUUCCUCUACUGUAAGAACCUCGUCGCUUUUCCACAUUGGCAAGCCUCCAUUUCCCUCUACUGUAAGAACCUCGUCGCUUUUCCACAUUGCCAAUGUGGAGUACAGGGGCAAGCCGGACCUUGAGAAUGAUGGGAUCUUGGCAGCAAAGUGUUUUGUCCAAACACCACCCGCAUUUUUCGGACCACCACCAGAAUCAUCAUCCAUUAGCCACAAUUCAAAGGGUGGUGUAUCACCAUCUUCAAAGGUAUUACGAUUCAAGCGAAAGAGAGCGAUGGAUUCAUUCCACACCUUAAGACGCAUUUCAAUACCAAUUCCUUCGAAAUUGUUGAACUCUACCAUCUCAUGUGGUAACAGUAUGUCAUGAAACACCUCACGACUCAUGUCAAACCAAACGAUCACUCGCCUAAUUUUUUCUUGCUCGGGAUAGGUGACAUCAUAGCUAUCGGCAAAUUCCUUUUGUUGCUCACUUCCUAUCCAAUAACACAUCCCCUUGAAGUACACCUGAAAAGUUUCAGGCCAAAGGAAAGUAGUUUCCGUUUCUAAAGAAUAAGGCUCGAUCUCCCUCCAAGAAUUAGUUCCUAGGGUAUACACUACUACCUUGGGAGGAUGAAUAAUCAAAUGUUCUGUGCCGCCAUGCAAUUCUGAACCAGAAAAUCCAAUUUUGACAACUUUGUAAUCUUUAGAUUUAGGAUCAUAGCCUAAUCCCAAAACAUCGUCGAACCGAUCUGUUAGUGGCAUGUAAGGCAUAGACAACCACCAAGGAUGAGGAUCCCUAAAGGAUGCUUCGUCGAACCAAUCUGGACUGUAUGUCUCCGAGGGAAGGACCCUGAAUUCCUGAAUUGCCGGAUUCCACAAAAGCACCUUAGUAGAAUUAGGACGAGCUAGACAAAUGAUCCCAUCACAAUGACCUAUAACAUGAAAUGAUUGAUCAUCUCCAAUCUCCAGACUCAUAGAAAGAGGAAUAUUGACGUCCUCGAUCCCAGAAAGAGUGCUACACUUGUGCACACCACCAUCGUCAUCAUCAACAAUGACAUUGUCAAAAGUAAGUACUGAGAAUACGGAUUGAAAUUUGUCCCCAUUUGGGUCCUCCGUAGAAGGGACUAACAUUCGCUUCAGAAGGACACGAGUGGACUGAUCGUCCAGCAAGGAAUGGGAGAGGUGCUUGUCGACGAACCUGGGGUCGUUGAUGAGAGCAUGCCACCAUUUAGCGACGCACUUGAAUCGCAUCAGAGAUUUCGGAGGCAGAGUUGACAGAUAUUCACCAACAAAUCUUGUCCGAUUUUGGAUGUUUUGUUCGUCAUUUGUGCAAUGUCAAUUAUGGACCUCACCCUUGUUCUACGAUACACACAAAGACCAACACAACAAGAUCAGAAGAUUCCACAAUUACACAUUCUCUCUAAUUAAGCAUAUUCUCAAAAGCUCAUCAUCAUCUGGUAUUGCUAUUUCUUGUUAAAAAAAAAAAAAAAAACUCAUGGAUACAUUCAAAAAUUUAGCCCUACUGAAAAUGCCAAUUGAAAUUCAAAAGCGAAAUAAGAAUCGAAGCAAAAAAAGUAUCCUUCUUUCAUUUAAAAAAAAAUAUAAAAACUGAAAUUGAAUAAUAAAAAGUUAGAAAUGAGGUUACCUUGUUGUAGACUAGGCAGUAGGAAGAGGAAGAGACCGAAGCAGAAGCAGCGCUGUGAGUGAGAGGGAAAGGGGCAGACUCGGCGCAGAAAAUGUAUUUUCUGCGUUUUGUUCGUGCAGCUGCGUGCGAUAAUGCGAUGGCAGAGAGGGGUUUUUAUUUUGAUUCUUGUGCGACCGAUUUCCACACCCUCCCAAAUUUACGAACUUACGCUCCCAAAUUCGGCCGCGGUUUGCAGUCUUCAAUUCCGUGUCUUAAUUGUGUAUGUUCUCUUAACUUUUUAACAGAUGUCUAUAAACUUAACUUUUAAUUUAACGGUGCUAUCUUUUCAAAAGACUAAUAUAACAAAUAAAAAGAAAUAAAAGAAAAACAAAAGGUGCCUAACUCUCCACCUACCCCAUAACACUAUUGAAUUGGUGUUAUCACUGUUUAAUUUAACGGUGUUAUCUUUUUAGGGGAUACUGUCGUUUUUCUUUAAUUUUUAGUUUUUUUCUUCAAAUGUUAACACUGUUGAAUUGGUAUUAAGUUGAAGCAUGAGUCACUAAGUUAGAAAGAAGACAUGACGAAGACACUAGUUUAUGGACAUCAGACUCUUGGGCCUCAAUUUGUAAAUCAGAUUAAUAGUCUCCGUGGUGAUAGAGUAUUCGGAGGAAAGUCUAUGUAGUAAAAAGAUUGCCGAGCUCUUCCAGCGGCUCUACUCCAAGCCCAGCCGUGACGCCUGCUCCCUCGUUUGCAAGCGCUAGCUUGCCCUCGAGCGCCUCAGCAGCACUGCCCUUUGCAUUGGCGGCCGACCGGUAUAUCGAUAGCUUAUUUGUUGGGUUCGUUAGGCAAGUGGGCAAGAAGAUUCGCCUACAGCAGCUGAUGCAGAUUCAGAAUUGUUAUUCUUGGGACUCAACCCAAAGACACAUCUGUUCUCAAAGUGCGUGACGUUUCGUGUGCUUGGGCGAGACCCACUCUUAUUUUUCAGUUUUGGUUUUCAGUAUAAGUAUUUUAACUUCAUUUCCUCUAGUUAUUUGUUUUUGUCGUUAUAAAUGUUUUUGGAAAAGUAUUUCUGUUUUCAUUUUUAAGUUGAUUCGAGCUUUUCAUCUAUAUGUUAGUACAUAUCUAUUUUGACGUUAUCUGACCUUAAAUUAUUUUGUGUUUUCGACUUUAUAUUUUAUUAAAGUAUGUUUUCUACUUUUACACUGAUGGGGAAAGAAAGUAUGAGCCUGGGGGCACGAAAGAUGGAAUCAUUGCAGCCAAUUGCGACGGCGUGGCAUUUUCCCUUUUGUGUAACCGCUCUUACCUAAUAUCUUCGUUACAUAUAUGUAUAUUAUUCUUCUUCCUAUUUUCGAAUAUUUUCAGUCUAGUAAGUGAUUUUAAAUUUCGAGGACGAAAUUAUUUUAAGGGGGGUAGAUUGUUACAACCACCCCCAAAUAAUUACACCAUUUGUUAUUUCCACCCCCAGCUGCCACGUGUCAAUCAUUAAACCUCCCCUAUUUUCCCUCUCUACGUCCCCUCACCCCCGUGACCUUCUUCUUCUUCGUCUCUCUCUCCCAAAGCUCUCUCAACUCUCCCUGUAGCUCUCUCUCUCAACCUCUCGCAUCUCUCUCUCCCUGGACUCACUAGAACCUUAGCACCUUCAGGAGAGGCUUGUAGCAAGCCUAGGACCCCUCUGCCCGCGAGAUCGAAGACACGGAGCAAAGCUCCGGUGAGCUUUCUUCCUUUUUAAGUGGGGGUAAGUCUCGAAUCCCUCAUUCUCGUACCUAGCUUAAUGUUUGGUUAUGAUUUAGAAGCUUGAACCUUCUAUUUUUACGUAGAUUUUGCUUCGGAAAUCAUUGUGGGUGAGCACACCCAUUUUCCGGCGAACCCAUGGACUUUGGAGGCUUUUCCGGUCACCUCCGACCGAGUUACGGUGUUUGGAAGGUAGAAAUCUCUCUCUCUCUUGGUUCUUCAUGUUUGUACCUAGAUUGGAGCUCGAAGCUUUCGUUUUCAAGUGACCGGAGCUGUAGCAGCUCCGGCCUUCUCUCUCGGCAAACCAGGCCAUCCGGCCUUUCCCAUUUCCUCCCCUCGGGCCUUAGGCCCGUGUUGUCUUAAGCCCAAAACCCUAGCCCCCUUUAGUUUUUUUUAAGCUUUGUUAAUUGGUUUUUAAAACCCAAAAAGGGCUCGGGCCUUAUAUAAUUUGGCCUUGGGCCGGUUAUAUAUUAAAGGGCUUAAAGCCCUGUCCUUUUUAAUAAGGCCUUAAGGCCUUUGUGUUUUGGUGGUGUGUGUGUGUUUGGGGAGUGUAUAUGUUUGGGCUUAAGCCCAAACCCCAAUUCUCACCUUAAUACCCUUUUAACCCAAAAACCCUAGGUUUCUAAAACCCAUUUAAAACCCUAAACCCAUCCAAUCCCAAAUCCCCUAUUUUAUUUAAUUCAAACCCAAUCUUUUAGAAAAUCCUUUUAUUUAUCUAUUACAUUUUUGUGCUUAGGUAAAGUUGCUAGUGGAGAAAUUCUAUAUCCUUAUUCACGCGAUUCAUCUGCUAAAGAAUAUUUGUGAGUGGACCCUUUCUAAAAUUACAUGAUUUUAUAAUUUAAUUGCAUAAAUGAUUAGUAUGCCUACGGAUUUAUGAAUUGAUUUAUGUUAAGCCUGUUUUUGGAAUUUAUUGAUUUCGUCUCGUGUUUUGGUGAGGAAAUAAAUUGCUAGCCUAGUUUGAGCUAUAUUUUAAUACAUCGUAUUUUCUAUAAAAACCAUGAACUGGUAGACUAUUUGAUGGAUGACGAUAGGAUGCUAGAACAUGUUUUAGAAACCCCUCUUUAUAGUAUAGACAAUGGAUGACUUUAUACUAUGAAGUGGUUAUUUAUGAGAGGCGUAACUAUUUGUGCGUACCUAGCAGACACUAUGCCGUCUGGGGCGAGGAACUGGUGUUGGCAUUUAGGCCGGGAGAAAUAAUCCCUAGCUACGGGCUGAGGGACAUGGAGCAAGCAUUGGGCCGGGAGUUGGUAAUCUCUGGUUACGGGCGCAGAGACCACGGAGCAGGUAUUGGGCCGAGAGUUAUAUUUAUUUAGUGAUCUUUCUAGCAGCACACCACGUUUACGAGAUGAUUUAUGAUGCGUUUACUGUUUUGAUUUCUGCAAUGAUAUUCCACGAUGUGAUUUUUGAGAUAUUUGGCAUGCUAGGUUUUUUAUUAAAUUCAUCACUUAUUAUGCUAGUAGUUUUCAUUUAUAUAAACUUUGGGGGUUAGUAUGUUGAUAACUAAUUUAUUAUUAUUGUAUAUAUAAACUUGGUCCACUCACCUUUGUUUUGCGCCCCCAUUCAGGACUUAGGAUUAAGGCACUUAAUCCCGGCGUGAAGGCACUUCCGCAGCAGCAUCUUCAGAUCGUCUCGAAUGUAGGACUCACUCCUUUAUUCAUUAAAUUUUAUCUUAAUUCUUCUUAGUGAUUAGGUUUAGUUGUAUGCUCUGAGCAUGUUCCUAAACCUUUUAACUCUUAGUAUUUUAAAUUUCUAACCCGUAUUUAUUUCUUAUUCUUAGCUUUUGUAUCAAUUAAUGGCUUUCGUCACCCUCGGGUGUCGGCCAUCACGUGUCUAUCCUGGUAUUCGGGUAAUAUCAGGAUCGGGGCGUGUCAAAUUCGGCUGUAGUUUGCUGUCGCCAAUUCAGUGUCUCAUUUGUGUUUGCUCUCUAACUUUUUAACAGCGGUCUAUAAACUUAACUUUUAAUUUAACGGUGCUAUCUUUUCAAAAGACUAAUAUAACAAAUAAAAAAAAUAAAAGAAAAACAAAAGGUGCCUAACUCUCCAACUACCCAAUUACACUAUUUAAUUGGUGUUAUCACUGUUUAAUUUAACGGUGUUGAAGCAUGUGUCACUAAGUUAGAAAGAAGACAUGACGAAGACACUAGUUUAUGGACAUCAGACUCCUGGCCCUCAAUUUGUAAAUCAGAUUAAUAGUCUCCGUGGUGAUAGAGUAUUCGGAGGAUAGUUUAUGUAGAUCACUGAGGUCUUCCGGCGGCUCGACUCCAAGCCCAGCUGUGAUGCAUGCUCCCUCGUCUGCAAGCGCUAGCUCGCCCUCAAGCGCCUCAGCAGCACCGCUCUCUGCAUUGGUGCCACCGGCAGCUCAGACUUCGUCGUCGGCCUCUUCACUGCUAAUUUCGCAACGUUCGCGCCGUUCACCUUGAUGAGCACCUUAACCUUUCGUCGAUGAGGCUGCAUUUUGUUUGAGAAAAUGAAUUUCAUUGAUUAAGAGAAUAAAAUUACAAUGUUGUGGUAUGUGUAUAUAUAUAUACACACACUCUCACAUAACUUUAACCUUCUAAACACCUUGCGACCUAUACAACAAUCUCAACUAAUUACUAAUCUAAUACAACAACCAAAACAAACAAACUAGCUCUAAGUUUUAUCACCAAUUGAAUCUUUAACAAUACUAUCCAUAACAUCCCCCCUCAAACUAAACUGAGGAGUUCAAAGGGACAGUUUGGAUUUUAAGAGCUGAAACCGGUCUUUGGAAAGAGAUUUUGUGCAUAUAUAUGAAAUUUGAUUUUGAGUGCAGAUAAAAUGGACUGAGAUGGCCUUCGAUAACAACUUUUCUCGAAUGUUGUGGUAGUUGAUCUCUACAUGCUUUGUUCUAGCAUGAAACAAAGGAUUUUUGGCAAGAGAGAUAGCUAAUUGAUUAUCACACUAGAGUUGAGGAGUACAUGUGUAACAACCCGUCCCAAUUUUUUACGGAACGAAAGGGUAAUGUUGUAAUUUCAUGUUGGGUUAGGAUAUUGGUUUAAAAUAUUGUUUUUGAGGGCCUAAAUAGGUGUGCCCAAGGGGCCCACCUAUGGAGUUUGUUCGCGACCCUCUCCCUUGUCUCUCUCUCUUUCUUCCCUCCUAUGAGUCUCACUAUCUUUUUCACUUUAUCUCUAUCACUCUUACUUCUCUCCCUUCUCUCUCGGCAAGUACCGAAGGGUGCCAUGGGGGAAAGCACCACCAGAGAAACCACCCAUUUCACCCUAUAGACCUUACGAGCUCGAACUCGAGCCCUGUUACGUAGGAAAAACCGAGCCGUGAGACUCUAACUCCAAGCUUCGACGAGAACAAAGUUCCUCGACGCGACUUUGAAUGAUUUUGUAACCUUUUUGGUUUGGGUAAGCCUCAAAACACUCCAAAUGCUUAUCUUUUCGUCCCUAUAGUUCUUUUCUAACCACGUUGUUGUGUUUUGAACAUCAAAAUACGAAGAAACACCUCGAAGGACUAUGUUCAAUGGUUUUGUGCUUAUCUAGUGGUCACUAUACCGCCACGGGUGAGGAUUAUAGUUGUUGGCUGCGGGCUAAGAGAAAUAAUCUCUGGCUACGAGUGCAGAGACAUAAAAGCGGGCAUUGGGUCAGGAGAUAAUAUUAUUGGAUACCACUAUGUAUCACACUAUAUAGGAGAUAUGUUUUAUGAAGGUUUUAUGACAUGCUACGAUUUUCGGAAAACCUAUUACAUAUUAUACUAUUGAAUUUCCAUAAAACUUUGGUGGUUAGUAUGUUGAUAAAAGUUUUAGUAAGUGUGUGUGUAUAUAUAUAUAUCAACUUGGUCCACCCAUGUUUGUUUUAUGCCCCAUCAGAACUUAGAAUCGCUGCGUACAAUCUCGACGUCAAGGCAUUUCCGCUUCGGCAGCUUCGAGUCCUCUUAGUGUAGGACCCAUUCCUUUGCUCCUUCAAUGUUAUAUUAUUUUCUUUUUAGUGUUCUAGAUUAGUUGUAUGCUCCGAACACGUUCAUCAUUUGCAUAUUAAAUAUAAUUAAAUUUAUAAGUCUUAUAUAUUUCGGGUUCUCAUGCAUUCUAAUAUGGCUUCGUCACCUUCGGGUAUCGGCCAGCACGUUCUUACCCUGAUGUUUGGGGAAUAUCAAGGUCGGGCAUGUCAACAUGGAAGAUGGAAACCAAUAUCAGCAAGUAAUUGACAUAUCCAUGUAAUUUCAUCUAUAGUAUUAGCUAAAGAUCGAUACUCUGCCUCUGUUGAAGAACGAACCACUGUUGAUUGCUUCUUAGCAUUCCAACCGAUGAUAGAUGAACCCAGAAAAUACAAUAAGUGCUAGUUGAUCUUCGAUGAAGUGUGAAAGCUGCCCAGUCAGCAUCUGAUAAGGCUUUGAGAGAUGGAAUAGAGACAGAUUUUGUAAACCAAAGACCAAUGUCAAUGGAACCCUUAAGAUAUCGAAUGAUCCUUUUGACAACUUGAAAAUGAGACUGCCUUAGACUAUGCAUGAAUUGACUGUAAAUGAUAAUUUUGGCCGAGUCCAAGUAAGAUAUUGUAAUGAACCAACCAAAGGUCGAUAUCUGCAGGAUUAUCAAACAAUGGAGAAGAAAGAUCCAUCUUGGAUGUACUGAGUGGGGUAGCACAUGGUUUUGCUCCAGCCAUGUUAGCCUUCUUUAAUAGAUCCAAGAUAUACUUUGUUUGUGAAAUGAAGAUGCCUUUGGAGGAUCGCUUGACUUCAAUUCCCAGAAAAUAAUGAAAUGCACCAAGGUCUUUAAUAAGAAAGAGAUAGCUAAGUUGAGAAAUAACAUGCUUGCAAGCUGCUGCAGAUGGCCCUGUGACAGUAAUGUCAUCAACAUAUAUCAGAACAAAGACCAUAAGAUCCCUUUUGACAAACAAUGAAUGAUCUAAUUUGGAACCAGUGAAGCCAAAAGUGUGUAAUGCUCCAUGGAGUUUUUCAUACAAGGCUCGGGGAGCCUGUUUAAGACCAUAUAGGGAUUUAUGCAAUUGACAACAUGAGUAGGAUGAAUAACAUCUUCAAAACCAGGCGGCUGUUGCAUAUAAACAGAUUCAGACAAUGUCUUACGCAGAAAAGCAUUGCUUUCAUCUAGUUGAUUGAGACUCCAAUCAAAUUGGGCAGCAAGAGUGAGUAGGAGUCGAAUUGUCACAGGCUGGGCUACUGGACUAAAAGUCUCAGUAUAAUCAAGUCAUUCUUACUGAUGAAAACCUUUGGCAACUAAGCAAGCUUUGUACCUAUCUAUGGUACCAUCAGGUUUUGCUUUUAAUCCUGAUAACCCACUUACAUCCUACAAUGUUUUGAUGAGCAGUUUUGGGUACUAAGGACCAAGUACCAGUUUGUUGUAAGGCAAGAAACUCCUCCUGCAUUGCCUUAACCCAAUGUGGAUAUUUGGAAGCUUAGAGAUAUGUAGUGGGAACAAAUUCAUUGGAAAGAUAAGAAAUGAGAGGAUGUUUGGUUGCAGAAAAGGCUUUUGGUUUGUAAAUACCAGAUUUGGACCUGGUUUGCAUAAGGUGAGUAUUAGUAUGAACCGAGUGAGAUGUAGGUAUAAGAGAUAUAGGUAUAAAGGUUGUUAGAGAAUAUAGGAGAUUGAGAUGAUGGUAUAGGGGAAUAGAUCUGUGGUUAAGUGAAUGUGAGGUGCAUGGGAAUGGUAUUGAGAGAUGAAGCUGCUACUGAGGAAAGAGAGCACUGUGAAGCUACAAUAGUGUGAAAGGGAAAAUUGCCUUUAUCAAAGAUCACAUUUCGUGAGAUGUAUAACUUGUUGCUAGUGAGAUCCAAACAUUUGUAACCUUUGUGGUUGAGGCUAUAACCAAGGAAUACACAGAGCUUGCUUUUGGGAUCCAAUUUAGACUCAUAGUAAGGUUGCAACCAUGGAAAACAACUACCCCCAAAAACCUUCAAGGUGGCAUAGUUAGGUGAUAUGUGGAAGAGACGUUCCUAUGGAGACAAUCUGGAUACAGUAGGUAAUCUGUUUAUGAGAAACAUAGCAGUGGAAAAAACAUGAUCCCAAUAGCUGUGAGGGACCUUAGAAACUGUUAAAAGUGUUCUGGCAGUCUCAACUAUGUAUAUGUGCUUAGGUUCAACACAACUAUUCUGUUGAGGGGUGUAUAGAUAACUUAGUCAAUGAUUGAUACCAUUCUCAAUAAAGAAAUUAGAGCAUUGAGUGCUAAGAUAUUCCCCACCAUAAUAUGAUCUAAGAGCAGCAAUUUUAGUAUGCAACAAGUUCUCAACAAGACUUUUGAACUUAACAAAAGUAGGAAACACAUCAGAUUUAUAUUGCAAAGACAAAGCCAACAAUAUUUUGUAAAAUCAUCUACAAAUAUGACAUAGUAUCUGAAAUUGUUCGCAGAAAUGAUAGAUGUUGGCCCCUAAACAUCUGUGUGAAGUAGCUCUAAAGGUUUACUGGUAUGAAAAGUAUCUGGAAUUGUUCACAGAAGUGACAGAUGUUGGCCCCCAAACAUUUGUGUGAAGUAGCUUCAAAGGCUUACUGGUAUGACAAGUUACAUAAGCAAAUGGCAAUCUAGAACUUUUGCUUAAGGUACAACCAUUACAGAAAGACUUAUUGGAACCAUUAGAAAAAGAAAUAAAAGACUUAGUAACCAACUUAUUGAGAAUCUUCACCGAAUGAUGGCCAAGUCUUUGGUGCCAAAUAUUUUUGGAUGUGUUAACAGAAGCAGCAAACACAUUGUGAUUAUGGAUCACAAAACUGGAAGGCUGUGGUUGAAAUGGAUAGAAGCCAUCUCUCACAGGACCUUUAAAGAGCAUCUUCCCCGAAGAAAUAUCCUUCACAGUGAAAUGAAAAUGAUAAAGAUACAUAGAACACCAAUUGUCAACAAGAAACGGAUUUGCAGAAAGCAAAUUUUGUUUCAAAUCAGGAACAUGUAACAUAUUUCGAAGUUGAAAAUUAUGAUGAGGAGUAUUUAAUGUAGAAAAACCAGAGUGGAGAAUAGGAAAACCUUUAAAAAGUGUUGUAAGAAUUGGUCAUGUGAAUACUAGCACCGGAGUCAACAAUCCAAGUAAGUUGAGGAGAAUGUGUGCUUGCAGCCAUAACAGAAUGAGAAACAUUGCUGGAAUAAUGUGGAUUCAUGCGCUGGGGACACUCGAUUGCAUCAUGCUCAAACUAGCGACAAAUUUGGCAUGGAAUCCUCCUUCCUGAGAAAUUGAAGGAUGAUCAACCACCACGGUUGUAGUGCUGAGAAUUGUUGGGAGAAGAAUUUGGACAAUUGUUGUUAGAACGGAAGUUGCUUCGUCCCUGAAAGUUUCUAGGGUUGGAGAAACCAUGAUCGCCACCACGACCUUGAGAGAAAUUAUGAUCACCACCACGACCUGGAGGAUUAUGUUAAGCAACAAAAUCCUGAGAAGGCGAAGUAGGAAGAAUGCCGGCGGUGGAGUUGUAUGCCUGAAUUGACACUAUCGAAGUAGUUUUCUUCCGAUUUGUUAGCUGAAUCUCUUUAUUGAGAAGGAGACCAUGCAGCAUCAAGUGUGGUGGAACCAAGUCGGAAUUGUAUCGCAUCAACAAAGAUUCGUACUCUGGUGGUAACUCAUGAUGUGUGAUAGAGGUUAAUUCAGAAUCCUCAACUGGAGCACCGACACUAGCAAAAGCAUCAGUGAUCUCUUCAAUUUGUUGAGGAUAUUGGGCAGCUAUGGAAUCGCCAUUCGAAAUGCUGUGCAGACAUGAUCAGAGCUCGUGGAUGUACAAUUGAGACGUCGUCGCAAGGCGUGACUCCAAUCUUGCCUAAAGCUCUCUGGAUGUAGUAACUCCAACAGUGUAAGGUUGAUCGAUUUAGAGAACGUGGAAUUGAUCCAAAUGAGGAUGUUCUUAUCGUUCUCGAACCAAUAAACAUAUGCCGGAUUCAGAAUUUGAUUUCCAACAGCAUCAGUGAUGAAUUAAGAUGGAGGAGGCAUCGAUCCAUCAAGAAUUCUAGUGAGAUUAUAGUGAAGGAAGAUCGGAGCAAACAAUGCACUCAAGGUGAGAUAAUUGGUCGGAGUCAGCUUGAUCGGCACCAUGGAUCUGAUAUUCUAGAUCGUGAUUGAAGGUGUGGAAAGAGUAUAACUCGAAUUUGAAAGAGGAUUACGAUGAAUUUGUGUUACAAAUUCGGAAGAGGGAGAAGCUGAGGUCUCCAUGGGAGAAAGUUAGGGUUUGGCAGUGAAAGCUUAGCGAAGAAGCUUAGGAAGGAAGAAAGCUUAGCGAAGAAGCUGGAGAAGGGAAAGCGUGGAUUGGAUCAAGUCGGUAGACAGAAGGUGGGUGAUACCAUGUUAGACAAAAUUAAUUUCAUUGAUUAAGAGAAUAAAAUUACAAUGUUGUGGUGUGUGUGUGUGUGUGUGUGUGUGUGUGUGUAUAUAUACUUUCACAUAACUCUAACCUUCUAACCACCUUGCCACCUAUACAACAAUCUCAACUAAUUACUAGUCUAAUACAACAAUCACGACAAACUAAGUAGCUUUAAGUUUUAUCACCAAUUGAAUCUUUAACAAUACUAUCCUUAACACAUUCUGCCAAUGGCUCCAACAACAUGCUUGAUUUGAAUAGCUUAUAGGAUGCCAGUAUGACUGCUAUCAGCGACAGAUUUCCCGGGCUCGAAAAUCUGAGCUUAAUCUGGUGCUCCAAUGCCUUUAGUAUCGGUCUAAUUUUGCUGAUAAGUGUAAAUUGUUGAAAUCAUUGGAUUUGUUAGAGUUGAAUUUGAAUGCUUGAAGCCUGCAAUUCUUCGUUUGAAUACUUAACUAGAAAUUAUUGGUACAUUCCUAAAUGGGUUACAUUUGGGGUACUGUCUUGCAAUCUUGUUUUGAAUACUACCCCAAACUUUUUUUUUGAACAAACGAUAUUAUCUACACCAAUGAUGACUACAAUCCCCUGAGUUUAUCUUUUGUUGACCCUAAAAACUAUUUGGGCCUAAACACCUUCCCAUGUAUGCCUCUUAGCCACCAAAAUAAUCCAUCAGCUAGCUCAAUUUGCCCUUCACAGUAGUUGUUUUUGUUGUUUAGUUAAGGAUUUCUAGAAAUUAGAAACUUUUUUUUUUUGUUCCCUCAUUUAUGGCUUGUUAAUACAAGCUAUCGUUGCAUACAUAUAAAAAAAAAGAAAGAUGUAGCCUUAAGCCAACCAUAUUUUUUAAAAUUAUUAUUAUUAAAUGGACGAUUCAAAACUUUUAUAAUAACUUAGAUGAGGAGGGAUGUUCGAACCUAACACGCAAGGUACAAAUCAACUUCCAAUCUACUAGGAUAAUGGACCACAUGCAUUAUGCCUAACCAUAUAAAUAUCAUGGAUUGAUAGCCUUACUCGAUAAUUUCUUGUAAAACGAUCUUUGAAUCUCAAAAAUUGGUAAAAUUUAUUUAUUUUAAUACAUUCGAUAUUAUCUAUACUAAAGGGUCGAAGAAUGGCCAAACCUCACAGCGGCUAGUAAUAUUUCUUUUGUUUUAAUGCCUUUAGUCACAUGUAUAAGGAAAUUUAUAUUUCGUUCAUUCACUAAUCACCCAAGAAUCAUAUUCAUAAAGUAAUUAUCCAAAAUUUAAAACAAAACACCAAUAAAUAAUCCAAAUACAUAGAAAAAAAGUAAUGCUAGGAAGGCUAAAUUUGUAAACAAAAUUUGCAAACCAAAUGAUGUGUCACCAAUAAGGAAUGAUCACAUUUAUCCUUUUUUAAUUAAUAAUCCAAUCAACAACUUCAAUGUCAUUUAAUUCACAAAAUUGUCUUUAAAUUUAGUCUCCCUAAGGACCCUAACAUUACUCCAUAGAAAAUUGUUGAAAAACUUGAACCAAAUAUUAAGAGGGCGUUUAGCCAAUAGGGGGAACUCGGACACAUGUUGGUCCCUGUUUAAAAGUUUUAAUCUUCCAUCGGUGUAGAUGACUUUUGAAAAUAAAAAAACUACAUAGUGGAAUGUUCGGGAUUAUCAACUUGAACAAAGUUAGUCUGUAUGACUUUACGACGUGAAUGAUACUUAGCAACAACAUGAGCAAGUGCUCGGCAAAUGCAUGACCAAUAGUCCUUGGAACCACAACGGUAACAUAUGUCUAUUUCUAUGGUGGUUGUGCCUUACCUUUAUUCUUGAGGUUGAAAGAUUUGGGAUCUAGAGAAUCGCGCUUUGAAACCACAACGGUAACACAUGUUUAUUGGACCCCAAAAGUGUGGCAAGCGGCGUUCGUUAUGGGAAGCUGAGAUAUCCACCAAAACAUGAAGCCACAGGGUAUUCUCUUGUUUACAAUCAGCUCCACCCUUUUGAAGGCUUCCAAAAUUACACUUCCGGAAUCAUCCACCAUGUUCGUCUCACAGGUUUGAUUUCGUUUACUUCUUAUUUUCUUCAAAGUUUCAAUGGAGAAUUACAAAGUUGGGUUUUGCUGAAAUGACUGAACUUUUAAAUCCCCCAAACAUAAGUUUUGAUGGAAUGUGGUUCUUCUGAUAAGUUGGUGAUCUAAUUGUUGUUUUGAUGUAGGGUUGAAACUGAAUACACUGUAUUUUUAACGAUGCGGGGAUCCUUCUAUACCUGCAAUGAGUGAAAUCCACCAGUUCAAGACUAUGUCAGUUUCUGGUCCUCGGAGCUACCCUGAGAGAAUAGCGGUUGUGGGAGACAUUGGCCUUACAACACAACUACCACAAUAAGUCACUUGACAAGUAACAAUCCUGAUCUUGUUUUGUUGAUUGGUGAUGUUACUUAUACAAACCUCGACCACACACAAAUGGAACUGGCUCUGACUGCUAUUCUUGCUCAUUUCCAAACUCUCCGAUACAUGAGACCUAUCAGCCUCGAUGGUUUUACUGGGGAAGGUUAAAAUAUAAAUUGCUUUAUUUCUAUCAUAGGCAAUGGCUGCUGUAAAUUAUGGCAUAGAACUUGUUUUCUUAUGUUGUCAUUGCUGGGUAAUUUGUGUAGGUAUAUGCAGAGUUUAGUGUCCAAAGUUCCAAUAAUGGUUGUUGAAGGGAACCAUGAAAUAGAAGAACAGACUGAAAAUAAGACUUUUGAGGCUUAUAGUUCUCGGUUUGCAUUCCAAUCUGAAGAAAGCGGAUCUUCGUCCACAUUCUACUACUCAUUUAAUGCAGGGGGGAUUCAUUUUAUCAUGCUUGGAGCCUACACUGACUUUAGCAAAUCAAGUAAUUAAAGUUUGCCUAAUUUUUGAGCUCAUUCCUUGCCUAAAUAUUCGUAUUUUUGCAUUUCUUUUUCUUUACAAAUGGUUUCGUUAUUGUUUCUAUCCCCAUUAAUCAGUGAUUUCUUUGCCUACAGGGAAACAAUACAAGUGGCUGGAGCAAGAUUUGGCUAAUGUGGACAGAUCUGUUAAAAGUUAAUGCUUUACUUAAACUGAUUCUGCUAUACUGAAACUGAUUCUGUGUAAAAGGGCUGACUGUUGCCUUUAUCAGUCGACCCAUUCUCUUUCUCAGUCGACCCAAUUACUUCAGUCGGCUUAUGUAUUGAGCCAUAUAUAUCAGAAAUAUCUGAAUGAAAAUAUCAAAUCUCUGUUUUAAGUAAAAAACAUCAGCCCUCUGUUUCCAAAAAAGCUCUCUGCACUCUGUUUCUUUGAUUUUCAAUCUUUAUCAUUUUAUUCAAGUUUUAUUAAUGAUGAAAGAUUGUCUAAUACCAACAUGGUAUCAGAGCCAAUCUGAUCAAAGAGUGGGGCGUUUUUUUUUAUUCUCAAAAAAGGGGAAAAUUCCAAGUGAAACCCUAGAAUCAAAAUUUUUCAAAUUCAUGGUUGGUUCAAGUAGCAGUGGUGAGAUUCGAACUCCUAUCUUCAGUGGAGUAAACUACGACUUCUGGAGGACAAAGUUGAGAACAAUUUUUGUAUCUCAUGAUUUGUGGAGCUUGAUUGAAGAUGGCUAUGUUGUACCUCCAAGCAAUGUGGUUUUGACAGAGACUCAAACAAGGGAGUUGAAGGUAAACAUCAAGAGAGAUGCAAAAGCUCUUGGGGUCAUCCAAAAUGCUAUCUCAGAUGAAAUUUUUCCGAGAAUCUCAAAUGAGACAAGUGCCAAAUCAGCUUGGGAUAUGCUGGAGAAAGUCUACAGAGGUUCUACUAAGGUAAGGGCUGUCAAACUCCAAUCUUUGAGAAGAGAUUUUAAGUAUAUAAGAAUGAAAGAUGAGGAAUUGCUAGAUGAUUACCUGAGUAGAUUGUCUGAGAUUAUUAAUCAAAUGAAAAGCUAUGGUGAAAUCUUGUCUGAUGAGAGAAUAGUUCCGAAGUAUCUAAUUAGCUUGCCAAGAAAGUAUGACAACAUAGUUUCAAUCAUAGAGGAGACUAAGGAUUUGUCAACUUUGAGUGUUGAAGAAUUGAUUGGUUCUCUCAAAGGUUUUGCUCAGAGAUUAUCUAGGCAUGACAACAAUGAUGUAGAAAAUGCUUUCCAAACACUUACAGUGAAUCCAAAAACUCAAGCUAGUUCAAGUCAAAGCAAAGCCAACUCCAACAAGAAUUGGAAAGGCAAAAACAAAGCGUGGGAAGGAAAGGGUAAUUUUGAAGACAAGAAAAAGGUUGAGAAGAGUUUGUAUGUUUCGAAGUGCAAAAUUUGUGACAAAGCUCAUUCCGGUGAAAUUGGUUCAAAGGAAAAGUGAAAUGCCACAAGUGUAGCAAAUUCGGGCAUAUGCAAAAGGAUUGUACCUACAAAGAUAAUCAGCUAGCUCACUACACCAAAGCAGAAGAUGAAGAGACCAAUAUGUUUUAUUUUGGUCAUGAUACAACCGUCCAAGAAGAAGCUAAAGUUUGGUUUGUGGACAACGGCUGUAGCAAUCAUAUGACGGCGAAUAAGAACAUUCUCCAUAAUGUUGACACUACAAACCUAACCCGAGUGAAGAUGGGAAAUGGGCAGCUAGUCGAUACAUUGGGAAGAGGUACUAUUGCCGUGCAUACGAAGAAUGGAAAGAUGUUCAUCAAGGAUGUCAUGUUAGUUCCUGAUUUGAAGCAAAAUUUGCUAAGUCUUGGACAACUCAUUGAGCAUGGCUACUACUUAUAUUUUGGAGACAAUACUUGCAAGAUAUAUGAUACGAGGAAUCGUCAAUAACUCGUGGCUAAGAUUGAGAUGAGGAAGAGUAGAAGUUUUCCUCUCACAAUUGAGUAUGCAACUCAAUCUGCAUUCAAGAUGGAAGUGCAAGAAGAUUCAAAGCUAUGGCAUAAAAGGCUUGGCCACUUGAAUUUUCAAAGUCUCAAGAAGCUACAAGAAAAAGAAAUGGUGCAUGGGUUGCCGAGUAUCCAAGAAAAUGAAGAAAUCUGUGAAAGGUGUGCACUUGGGAAGCAUCAUAGAGAUUCAUUUCCACAUGGUAAAGCUUGGAGAGCAAAAGUUCCAUUGGAAUUGAUUCAUACAGAUGUUUGUGGACCCAUGAAGACCUCUACUCAAGUGGGAAACAAGUAUUUCCUAAUCUUCGUGGAUGAUUAUUCCAGAAUGACUUGGGUAUACUUUCUAAGACAGAAAUCAGAAGUGUUCUCAAUCUUCAAGAAGUUUCAAGCUAUGGUUGAGCGACAAUCUGGGUAUCUAAUCAAAGUUCUUAGAAGUGACAGAGGAGGAAAGUAUACAUCCACAGAAUUUGAUAAGUUUUGUCAAGAUAUUGGCUUGGAAAGACAACUUACUGUCAGCUACACUCCACAACAAAAUGGAGUAGCUGAGAGAAAAAACAGAACCAUAGUCGAAAUGGCUAAGGCAAUGUUACAUGACAAGGGAAUACCUCAAUAUUUAUGGGGUGAGGCAGUUAAUACAGCGGUCUACUUGAUGAAUAGGCAUCCAACAGUGGCAGUUGAAGAUAAGACACCAUUUGAGGCAUGAAGUGGAAGAAAGCCUUCCGUGAAUCAUUUGAGAGUGUUUGGGUCAAUCUGCUUUGCUUAUGUUCCGAAAGAACUAAGACAAAAACUUGAUGAGUCAAGUGAAAGAUGCAUUUUCGUAGGCUAUGCUUCAUACACAAAAGGGUACAGACUUUACAAUUUAAAAAGGAAGAAAGUUGUGAUUUGUAGAGAUGUUCUUUUUAGUGAGAAAUCUUCGUGGGAUUGGAAUCAAGCAACCAUCUGAGAAAAAUCUGUACAAAUCAGAAUUGAAGAAGAAAAUCAACCAAAUGAAGAGGAAAUUGAGCCAGAAAUUCCACAAUUAUCACCUGAAAACAGUCCUCAAACUCACUCUCCUACAUUUUCAAGUCCAAGUUCAACGCCGGUUCGAUUAAGGAGCUUAAAUGAAGUCUAUGAAAGCUGCAAUUUUUGUGUUGAAGAACCAGAAAACUUUGAUGAUGCAGUGAAAGAAGAGACUUGGAAGGCUGCAAUGCAAGAGGAGAUCAAUGUCAUUGUGAAAAACAAGACAUGGGAACUAGUGGACAGACAUUGUGACAACUCCGUCAUUUGAGUGAAGUGGAUUUAUAAGACUAAGCUCAAUCAAGAUGGUUCCGUUCAAAGGAACAAAGCUAGAUUGGUAGCAAAGGGUUAUUCUCAGAAACCCGGGAUUGAUUUCCAAGAAACAUUUGCACCGGUAGCUAGGCAUGAAACAAUCAAAGGCCUUAUUUCCGUAGCUGCUCAGAAGGGGUGGUUUCUACACCAACUUGAUGUCAAGUCGGCUUUCCUAAAUGGAGUCCUAAAAGAAAAGGUGUUCGUUGACCAACCUCAAGGAUUUGUUCGUAAAGGACAAGAGCACAAGGUGUAUAAACUUAAGAAUGCACUUUAUGGCUUGAAACAAGCUCCGAGAGCAUGGUAUGGAGAGAUCGACUCAUAUUUCAAUGAAAGAGGUUUUCAAAGAAGUGAGAAUGAACCUGCCCUCUAUGUCAAAACAGAAGGUAUUUCAGAUAUCCUUAUUGUUUCCUUAUAUGUUGAUGAUUUGGUUUAUACUGGAAGUAGUCGUAAUAUGAUCUUGAAUUUCAAGAAUGACAUGAUGAGGAAAUAUGAGAUGAGUGAUCUACGCAUGUUGCAUUAUUUUUUGGGAAUUAGUAUCAUUCAAUCAAAUGAUGGUAUCUUUAUUACUCAAAAGAAAUAUGCAAAAACACUUCUAGAAAAGUUCAAAAUGGUUGGUUGCAAGCCUGUUGCAACACCUCUAGUUGUGAAUGAAAAGUUUCAAAGAGAAGAUGGUAAUGGUGAUGCUGAUGAAUCUGUGUAUAGAAGCCUGGUUGGGAGUUUGUUGUAUUUGACAGCGACUAGACCCGAUAUUAUGUAUGCUGCAAGCUUGUUGUCCAGAUUUAUGCACAAGCCUACUUGCAUUCACUAUGGAGCUGCAAAGAGGAUCCUAAGAUACAUACAAGGUACACUUGACUUUGGUAUUAUGUAUGAAAGGAAUGUUAAGCCCAAAUUGUAUGGGUUCUGUGAUAGUGAUUGGGGAGGUAGUGUGGAUGACUUGAAGAGCACAUCUGGCUAUACUUUUACAUUAGGGACUGGUGUAUUCUCUUGGGCAUCUAAGAAACAGAAAUCAGUUGCACUAUCAACGGCAGAGGCUGAGUAUGUGUCGGCUUCAAUUGCAACUUCUCAAGCAGUGUGGCUGAGAAGAAUUAUGCAAGAUUUUGGUGAGAAACAAGAAUCAGCAACUCAUAUCUUUUGUGACAAUAAGUCAGCUAUUGCCAUGAGCAAGAAUCCUGUCUGUCAUGGUAAAUCAAAGCAUAUUGCUCUGAAGCAUCACUACAUCAGAGGUGCUGUGAAAGACAAGGAAGUGGAUGUGGUCUACUGCAAGACAGAAGAUCAAGUUGCUGAUAUCUUCACCAAGGCAUUACCAAAGGACAGAUUCAUCUACCUAAGAGAACUUUUGGGAGUGAAGCAGCAAAGCAUUAAGAGGGAGUGUUAAAAGUUAAUGCUUUACUUAAACUGAUUCUGCUUUACUGAAACUGAUUCUGUGUAAAAAGGCUGACUGUUGCCUUUAUCAGUCGACCCAUUCUCUUUAUCAGUCGACCCAAUUACUUCAGUCAGCUUAUGUAUUGAGCCAUAUAUAUCAGAAAUAUCCGAAUGAAAAUAUCAGAUCUCUGUUUUAAGUAAAAAGCAUCAUCCCUCUGUUUCCAAAAAAGCUCUCUGCACUCUGUUUCUUUGAUUUUCAAUCUUUAUCAUUUUAUUCAAGUUUUAUUAAUGAUGAAAGAUUGUCUAAAUACCAACAAGAUCCACAACUCCCUGGUUGCUAGAUACUUGGCAUCAUCCCUGGUAUAGUACCUAUGAGGUCCAUUACAGAGAGGCAGAAUGUAUGAGGUUGGAAAUGGAAGAGCUUCUGUACUCUUAUGGUGUAGAUAUAGUGUUCAAUGGACAUGUAAGUAACGAUAACCACCAAUGAUUGUCACAAUCUUUGAUAGGUAACAGGUUUCUUUCUUAUAGCCAGAAACUAUGUGGAAGAAGUGGUAUAAGGGUUCUUCGAUUGAGGCUUUCUUUCAUACCAGUAACCAGAUAGUGAUAGAAAGCUAGAAGGAACUGCAGUUUACGCUUUAAACUUUUGAGAAAACAAAUUUAAUAUGAAAUUAAUUGGUACUUGGUUCCCUUAUUGCUAAAACACAUAACACAAACUUAUUUGAAACGCUAUCAGAAACAAUGACCUUAUCUUGAAACUCGUAUCACAGCAGUACCAUUUGGUUCCGAUCCCAAGCAUGAUUUUAUUAAGUUGUCCUUAGUGUCUAUGAAUGAUGACAAUUUUCCUCAUUGUAACUAAAUAUCUUUUCGCUUUAAAGUGCACUGAAUGUUCUUCUGUUUUCUUGAAUAAAACAAUAGGUUCAUGCCUACGAGCGAUCGAAUCGAGUUUAUGAUUACAACUUAGAUCCCUGUGGUCCUGUAUAUCUCACCGUUGGUGACGGGGGUAAUCGGGAGAAGAUGGCAGUUCAACAUGCUGACGAACCUGGUCGUUGCCCAGAGCCAUCAACUACUCCUGAUCAACACCUAGGUGAUGGUGCCUUUUGUGCAGAGAACUUUACCUCCGGCCCAACAGCAGGUAAAUUUUGUUGGGAUCGGCAACCGGAUUACAGUGCUUUCAGAGAAAACAGCUUUGGCCAUGGGAUCCUUGAGGUACUCCUUUUUCUGUGUUUCUGUUUGGCAAAUAUUCAGUCUGACAAUGCAUUCAAUUGUCUAGAAACGUUAUACUUUAAUUUGUAUGACCCUACACUACAUAUGAUACAACUUGAAAAUGAUUGAUGGAAAGAUGAGCAUGUGCUUGACUGUCAAUGUGCAUAGAAAGACCACACAUGGGUAAAUGUUAUGGAACCAGUUUAAAUCAUUUUUACCAUUCCACUGCAAUGUCAAGAGAAAAUCACUUAGCACCAAUAUCUGUUUAUACAGAGUGCGAAAAUCCUGUGACUGACUUGAAUACCCUUGAUCGGUUAUUGAGUAGCAAACAUAUAGAUGUAGGCUAGUAGGCUACCUGGAUUAUACACUAAGCGUGCAUUUUGAUGUGCAUAACUUGCAGGUGAAGAAUGAGACUUGGGCUUUGUGGACAUGGUACCGGAACCAGGACUCCGACAAUAAAAUUGGAGAUCAAAUUUAUAUAGUGAGGCAGCCUGAUAAAUGCCGCAUCCGCCAUUUGUUCGAAAGUUGGCUUGCUGACCUCUAAUUCUCACUGCUGCUUGCUGGGAAAAAUUUAUUAUUAAGAUCCCAAAUCAAUUGACCAUUCUUAUCUAGAUAGGAAUAGGAUGGAAGGUUGCAGAAAGAGUAGGAAGAUGGGGUUUCACCUAUGUAUACACACUAUAUAUAAGUGGAGGGGGUUUGGGGGGGUGGGGGGUGGGGGAGGGGGCGGGGAGAGAGAGAGAGAGAGCACAGAAGAAGAGCAACUCCGCUGUUGUUGUAUGUAAAUGAUAAAAUCUCGUUUAUACGUCUCCUUUGUAACUUGAAUAUAUACUCUCUCAACCAAUUUAUACAACAACAAACGUGUAAGAUUGGUUCCUGGAGCAAUUUCGGAUAUUGAAUUCUAAACUAAUUGCGUAUUUUGUUGAGUUAUCAAAAAUUUCCCCUCCCCUUAUUGUGAAGCCGAGAAAUUGUUGGAAGUGACUUUUAUACUGUCACAUGGUGUUACCAGUUCACUGAUGUUAUGGUGGUACUGCUUAAAAGGGUGGCGUUUCGACAAAAUCCUUAGCUCGCGAGCUCACAAUGCACCCCGUCCAUAAGUCAUUCGGAGUUUGGACGGAACGAUGAGGUUCGCUACUACCUCCGUACAAAAAACCUUCAACAACUUCCCGUUCAUUGUAUUCUCCAUUAAAUUCCAGGCCAGGGGUUCCACCUCCAUCUCAUAGAGAUUAUCAUCACCUGUUGUUUCUGUGAAUAAUGUAAAUUUCUUACCAAAACAUUUGUAAUAUUGUGCCAAUUAUAUUAUAUAUUUGCAGGAUGCAUAGCAAUUUGGUGUCAGUAAAACUUUGUCUGCCGCAUAUUUGAUCAUGUUUUAACUUCGGAAUUUCAUGGUCUUGUUAAUUUUGACGGAUUUUGAAAGGCUUUUAAAACAAAUUAGAAUCAAACUUUCGAAUUUACUACCCCAAACAAAUUGCACUGCAAAUUACCAUAAUCAGAAUUCAUCAGGUCAUGUACGUACUACAUAACAUUUACUUAGGAUAUGAAAUGGUGAGAUCGAUAAAUUCGAAAUCAUCAUUAUAUUGUUGUUCUUAUUACAUUAAUAUAGAUAUAUGUAGCCACUAUAUAUACCUAUUAGAGUGAAUACGAUACCAAUGCCCCACAAUUUGUUGUCCUGACACAAUCGACCGGAUUCGCUGCGUUGUAGUCAAAACAGAUGACGACUUCCUGCAGAUACGCGAUCCCCCCGUCCUUCUUGCACAUAAGAAGAGGUGUUUUCCCUCCUAUAGUCCGUCGAAUGGCCGAUUCAAGGUCGAUGUAAUGAUAUUGAUAUCCUGGUACAAUCCCAGUUGUUUGAGAAAAUAGAUGUUGUGCAUUGUAGGUCAACCAUAAUCUAUGAGCUUCGUGGAAGUAUUGUGUCUGGGAAAAUUUAUUGUCCGAGCACCUGCCGUGCUUGUUGUACUCAUGCGCCCAGAAAUCCAUAUUUGUCCGUCUAUUGUUGAAGCUGGGCCAGGAAUUGGACAAAAGUAAUUGCAGAUUAUGAUCAGCAAUCAUCUGAAGCACAAAGACGAGAAGUUACAAGCAUUUCAGAGAGCUGCAGGAGAAAAAAACAAACUGAAAUGAGUAUAUAUAUUCAAUGUGUACCUGAUUUCUGUUGAAUAGGGUGCCAGCGCAGAGUAUAGGUGCAGAUGGAUCGGUAAAGUUGCUCGGCCAGAGGCCGUGUGUCGUAAAGGUAUGCCGUAGAACUUGUUGGUUUCCACAAAUUCCAUUCCCAAGGCAGAAGACGUAUUGGAAGAUAUCAUAUGGUGUGGCAGCAUUGCUCUUUCCGACAUAAGUGACGAAGCAAAGAGCGAUGACAACGAGAACAUGUUGUGCGGAAGCGUCAAAUGUGAAACCAAUAAACUACAACGGCAAAAUAUGAUAAACUACAAUGGCAAAAUAUGAUAAGACAAAUAAUCUAAAUAACACAAGGAUUUAUACUGGUUCGGCGUAAGCCUACGUCCAGUUCCGAGACGGCGAGGAAAUUCCACUAAUAUCAAAAGGAGAUUACAAAUAGAGUUCAACACUCAAACCCAAAUCCCACAUACACCCAAUAGCUUUCACUCAUAUAAAGAACAAAUAGAGAAGAAGAAACACAUACCAAAUCCUUCUCUCCCAAAAGCCACAAAAUGUAGCAAUAUAUCUUUGAAUGAAUGAUUGCACAAAUGGAGAACAGUAAAACAGCAGCACUCAAUUUUCUUCUCUAUCGGCUGCUCUCUGUUUUCUGCUAUAUGCUGCCGCUGAGUUUCUGCUCUCUUUUUUCUGCUAUCUGCUGCCGCUGAGUUUCUGCUCUCUUUACUGACCAAAAGGCAUGAAUUGCCUUAUAUAAGGCUGGUGCCUUUUAAUUAAACCCUAGCUGCCAUGUGGCUUUCAAAUGGGUAACAAAAGGCCAAACCUAUUUGGGUUUGAGACAAAAAACUAAAGGCCCAAGAAGUAUUGAGCCACAAAAUCCAACAGAACAAUCUUGAAGAAGUGCAUGGUUGUCAAGCAAUUAUCAAAAGAACAAAGGGAGGGAGGGAGGAUGGGAUGAGAAAUAACAAGGAAAGCUAAAGAGUGAAUGAAGUGUGAAUUUUCAAAGAAAUGAAGAGGUGUUUAAAUAGUUAGAGUUGAGGUUAAGGGUAGGGUUUGGAGAAAUUAAUUAAGGUGAAGCUAACUAGCAAAGAUGAUAAUAAUUAAGGUCAAGUAAGUGUGAACAGAUCCUGAACUAGGGAAUGCCUCUUUCUUGUUAUGCAAGGCUUUGCAUUCUCAUAUGCAUGCUAUAAAGGGUGGUAACCGUGUAGUGGUUGAUUCAUCAACAACCCAAUCAACCCAAUUAUAGCGGUUCCUCAUAUAUCAGAUUCAGACCCCAAGCAAGCUAAUAGUCUCAAUUUUUAGAUUAUAAUUCUAUUUGAGAAAGCCAUUCAGGACCACGCUAGCUAAAUAUGGUUCCAAUCGAAUAUAAACAGAAACGAUUUGGACAUUGUUUAUGUAUCUUAUCUUGUAAAUUGAAGUUUCAACCACUACCUUCUAGCAGUGGUAAUUCUUAUCUUUGAAAUUUUGGAGCUCUCCUCUCCUCUUCAUGGUUUCUAUUCAACUUACUUAUCCCGGUUGCAGAUAAUUAAUUAACUUGUGGAUUAAGUAAAUAGCUAUUUCAAUUUGCUGCUACUCACCCUGGAGCUAGCCUUCGGACCGGGGAAAUCAUAUUGUCCUAUAGACACCCGCUUCGUCGCUGCAAGGCGACACCGCAGGGUGGAUAUCUGCGGGUACUCAUCAUUUCAUUUCAUGGUUGUAUUGCUUCACAUUUGCAGAUUGUUAACACAACAUGCCUUCUGUUUAGUUAAUUCAUUAAUCAAACAUGAUCAAAUAUACAACAUACAAAUUGUUAGAAUUGAGGUCAAGUGUAGAGUGUAGAGAAAGAUUAAGUUGAAGCUAGCUAGCAAAGGUGAUAAUAAUUAAGGUCAAGUGAGUGUGAACACAUUCGGAAUUAGGGAAUGCAUCUUUCUUGUUGCCCACGGCAAUGCGUUCUCAUGCUAUAAAGGGUAGUAACUGUGUAGUGGACGAUUCAUCAUCAACCCAAUUAUAUAAAGUGGUUCAUCAUAUAUCAGAUUCAAACCCUAAGCUAGCUAGUAGUCCAAAUUUUAGAUUAUAAUUCUGUUUCAAAAAUCCAUUCAGGACAACGCUAGCUAAACAUGGUUCCGAACGAAAAAAUACAGAAACGAUUUAGGCAUUGCUUGCGUAUCUCAUCUUGUAAAAACGUACAACUUACAAUACACUUAAUUUCGAACAUUGUUUGAGUAUCUCAUCUUCUUCGUUGAAAGGCAACACCGCAGGGUGGAUAUCUGCGGGUAGCCAUCAUUUCGUUUCUUGGUUGUAUUGCUUCAUAUACUCGUAAAUUUUUAUCGACUCCAAGUUUCUUAAAGACAUCCAUAAUUUGAACAACAAAAGGAUUUCAUUACUUUCGAUAUCUACGUACACAUGUACUUGUUGUUGCCUUCCGUGACCGAAACCAUACUCUUCACAUAUACAACGGGCGAAUGAUUUGCUUUGCACAGUGGCAAAUAAUACGGUUGCGGAGGAAAAAUGGGAUUGAUCCUUACAGCACUUUGAAUGGGAAGAUUUUUAAGCUUCUUAGUACGGAAGUUAUAGCAGACUAUGCCUCCAUUUUCCUCUACUGUAAGAACCUCUUCGCUUUUCCACAUUGGCAAGCCUCCAUUUCCCUCUACUGUAAGAACCUCGUCGCUUUUCCACAUUGCCAAUGUGGAGUACAGGGGCAAGAGGGACCUUGAGAAUGAUGGGAUCUUGGCAGCAAAGUGUUUUGUCCAAACACCACCCGCAUUUUUCGGACCACCACCAGAAUCAUCAUCCAUUAGCCACAUUUCAAAGGGUGGUGUAUCACCAUCUUCAAAGGUAUUACAAUUCAAGCGAAAGAGAGCGAUGGAUUCAUUCCACACCUUAAGACGCAUUUCAAUACCAAAUCCUUCGAAAUUGUUGAACUCUACCAUCUCAUGUGGUAACAGUAUGUCAUGAAACACCUCACGACUCAUGUCAAACCAAACGAUCACUCGCCUAAUUUUUUUCUUGCUCGGGAUAGGUGACAUCAUAGCUAUCGGCAAAUUCCUUUUGUUGCUCACUUCCUAUCCAAUAACACAUCCCCUUGAAGUACACCUGAAAAGUUUCAGGCCAAAGGAAAGUAGUUUCCGUUUCUAAAGAAUAAGGCUCGAUCUCCCUCCAAGAAUUAGUUCCUAGGGUAUACACUACUACCUUGGGAGGAUGAAUAAUCAAAUGUUCUGUGCCGCCAUGCAAUUCUGAACCAGAAAAUCCAAUUUUGACAACUUUGUAAUCUUUAGAUUUAGGAUCAUAGCCUAAUCCCAAAACAUCGUUGAACCGAUUUGUUAGUGGCAUGUAAGGCAUAUCCAACCACCAAGGAUGAGGAUCCCUAAAGGAUGCUUCGUCGAACCAAUCUGGACUGUAUGUCUCCGAGGGAAGGACCCUGAAUUCCUGAAUUGCCGGAUUCCACAAAAGCACCUUAGUAGAAUUAGGACGAGCUAGACAAAUGAUCCCAUCACAAUGACCUAUAACAUGAAAUGAUUGAUCAUCUCCAAUCUCCAGACUCAUAGAAAGAGGAAUAUUGACGUCCUCGAUCCCAGAAAGAGUGCUACACUUGUGCACACCACCAUCGUCAUCAUCAACAAUGACAUUGUCAAAAGUAAGUACUGAGAAUACGGAUUGAAAUUUGUCCCCAUUUGGGUCCUCCGUAGAAGGGACUAACAUUCGCUUCAGAAGGACACGAGUGGACUGAUCGUCCAGCAAGGAAUGGGAGAGGUGCUUGUCGACGAACCUGGGGUCGUUGAUGAGAGCAUGCCACCAUUUAGCGACGCACUUGAAUCGCAUCAGAGAUUUCGGAGGCAGAGUUGACAGAAUAUUCACCAACAAAUCUUGUCCGAUUUUGGAUGUUUUGUUCGUCAUUUGUGCAAUGUCAAUUAUGGACCUCACCCUUGUUCUACGAUACACACAAAGACCAACACAACAAGAUCAGAAGAUUCCACAAUUACACAUUCUCUCUAAUUAAGCAUAUUCUCAAAAGCUCAUCAUCAUCUGGCAUUGCUAUUUCUUGUUAAAAAUAAAAAAAAAACUCAUUGAUACAUUCAAAAAUUUAGCCCUACUGAAAAUGCCAAUUGAAAUUCAAAAGCGAAAUAAGAAUCGAAGCAAAAAAAGUAUCCUUCUUUCAUUUAAAAAAAAAUAUAAAAACUGAAAUUGAAUAAUAAAAAGUUAGAAAUGAGGUUACCUUGUUGUAGACUAGGCAGUAGGAAGAGGAAGAGACCGAAGCAGAAGCAGCGCUGUGAGUGAGAGGGAAAGGGGCAGACUCGGCGCAGAAAAUGUAUUUUCUGCGUUUUGUUCGUGCAGCUGCGUGCGGUAAUGCGAUGGCAGAGAGGGGUUUUUAUUUUGAUUCUUGUGCGACCGUUUUUCAACACCCUCCCAAUUUUACGAACUUACCCUCCCAAAUUCGGCUGCAGUUUGCUGUUCUCUUAACUUUUUAACAGAUGUCUAUAAACUUAACUUUUAAUUUAACGGUGCUAUCUUUUCAAAAGACUAAUAUAACAAAUAAAAAGAAAUAAAAGAAAAACAAAAGGUGCCUAACUCUCCACCUACCCAAUUACGCUAUUUAAUUGGUGUUAUCACUGUUUAAUUUAACGAUGUUAUCUUUUAAGGGGAUGCUGUUGUUUUUUUUUAAUUUUUAAUUUUUUUUAAAUGUUAACACUGUUGAAUUGGUAUUAAGUUGAAGCAUGUGUCACUAAGUUAGAAAGAAGACAUGACGAAGACACUAGUUUAUGGACAUCAGACUCCUGGGCCUCAAUUUGUAAAUCAGAUUAAUAGUCUCCGUGGUGAUAGAGUAUUCGGAGGAAAGUCUAUGUAGUAAAAAGAUUGCCGAGCUCUUCCAGUGGCUCUACUCUAAGCCCAGCCGUGAUGCCUGCUCCCUCGUUUGCAAGCGCUAGCUCGCCUUCGAGUGCCUCAGCAGCACCGCCCUUUGCAUUGGCGCCACGGGUAGCCCGGACCUUGUCGUCGGCCUCCUCGCUGCAAAUUCCACAACGUCCGCACGAUUCACAUUGACGAGCACCUUAACCUUUCAUCGAUGAGGCUGCAUUCUGCCAAUGGCUUUGACGACGACGUGCUUGAUUUGAACACUACCCCAAACUUUUUUUGUUUUGAACAAAUGAUAUUAUCUACACCAGUGAUGAUUACAACCACCGGAGUUUAUCUUUUAUUGACCCUAAAAACUAUUUGGGCCUAAACACCUUCCCAUGUGUGCCUUUUAGCCACCAACAUAAUCCAUCAGCUAGCUUGAUUUGCCCUUCAUAGUAGUUGUUUUUGUUGUUUAGUUAAGGAUUUCUAGAAAUCAGAAACUUUUGUUUUUUUUUUGUUCCCUCAUUUCUGGCUUGUUAAUACAAGCUAUCGUUGCAUAUAAAAAUAAAAUAAAAAGGACGUAGCCUUAUGCCAACCAUAUUUUUUUUUAAAUUAUUAUUAUUUGUCACAUCCCAGCCCGAGCCCUCACCACAUCUCGGGCUCGACUCCACUGUAGCACAAUAUUAUUCGUUUUGGGCCCUGAUCACACCCUCAAGGUUUUGUUUUUGGGAACUCACACGAGAACUUCCCAGUGGGUCACCCAUCAUGGGAUUCCUUUUGCGCGAACUCGCUGAACUUUGGAGUUUCGAUGAAACCCGAAGCCAGUGAGCUCCCAAAAUGCCUCGUGCUAGGUAGAGAUGAGAAUAUACAUAUAAGGCUUGCAGGAUCCAUUCCUUGGGCGAUGUGGGAUGUUACAAUCCACCCCCCUUAGUGGCCCGACAUCCUUGUCGGUACACUUCCGGCCAGGGAUUGGUUCUGAUACCAAAUUGUCACAUCCCGGCCUGGGCCCCCACCACCACAUCCCGGGCUCAACUUCACGGUAGCACGAUACUGUCCGCUUUGGGCCUCGACCACGCCCUCACGAUUUUGUUUUUGGGAACGAGAACUUCCCAGUGGGUUACCCAUCCUAGGAUUGCUCUCGCGUGAACUCGCUUAACUUCGAAGUUCCGAUAGAACCCGAAGCCAAUGAGCUCCCAAAAUGCCUCGUGUUAGGUAGAGAUGAGAAUAUACAUAUAAGGCUUAGAGGAUCCAUUCCCCUGGGCGAUGUGGGAUGUUACAUUAUUAAAUGGAUGAUUUAAAACUUUUAUAAUAACUUAGAUGAGGAGGGAUGUUUGAACUUGACACGCAAGGUAGAAAUCAACUUCCAAUCCACUAGGAUAUUGGACUACAUGCAUUAUGCCCAACCAUAUACAUAUCAAGGAUUGGUAGCCUUACUCGAUAAUUUCCUGUAAAACGGUCUUUGAAUCUCAAAAAUUGCUAAAAUUUAUUUAUUUUAAUACAUUCGAUAUUUUCUAUACUAAAGGAUCGAAGAAUGGCCAAACCUCACAGUGGCUAGUAAUAUUGCUUUUGUUUGAAUUCGCCUUUAGUCACAUGUAUAAGGAAAUUUAAAUUUUGCUCAUUCACUAAUCACCCGAGAAUCAUAUUCAUAAAGUAAUUAUCCAAAAUUUAAAACAAAACACCAAUAAAUAAUCCAAAUACAUAGAAAAAGAGUAAUGCUAGGAAGGCUAAAUUUGUAGACAAAAUUUGCAAACCAAAUUAUGUGUCACCAAUAAGGAAUGAUUACGUUCAUCCAUGUUUAAUUAAUGAUCUAAUCAACAACUUCGAUGUCAUUUAAUUCAUAAAAUUGUCUUACUCCAUAGAAAAUUGUUCAAAAACUUGAACCAAAUAUUAAGAGGGCGUUUAGCCACUAGGGGGAACUCAGACACAUGUUGGCCCUUGUUUAAAAGUUCUAAUCUUCCAUCGGUGUAGAUGACUUUUGAAAAUCAAAAAACUACACAGUGGUAUCUUCGGGAUUAUCAACUUGAACAAAGUUAGUGUGUAUGACUUUACGACGUGAAUGAUACUUAGCAACAACAUCAACAAGUGCUUGACAAAUGCAUGACCAAUAAUCCUUGGAACCACAAUGAUAACAUAUGUCUAUUUCUAUGGUGGUUGUGCCUUACCUUUAUUCUUGAAGUUGAAAGUCUUGAGAUCUAGAGAAUCGCGCUUUGAAACCACAACUGUAACACAUGUCUAUUGGACCAGAAAAGUGUGGCAAGCGUUGUUCGUUAUGGGAAGCUGAGAUAUCCACCAACACAUGAAGCCACAGGGUAUUCUCUUGUUUACAAUCAGCUCUCCCCUUUUGAAGUCCAAAAUUAUACUUCCGGAAUCAUCCACCAUGUUCGUCUCACAAGUUUGAUUUCGUUUGCUUCUUAUUUUCUUCAAAGUUUCAAUGGAGAAUUACAAAGUUGGGUUUUGCUGAAAUGACUGAACUUUUAAAUCCCCCAAACAUAAGUUGUGAUGGAAUGUGGUUCUUCUGAUAAGUUGGUGAUCUAAUUGUUGUUUCGAUGUAGGGUUGAAACUGAAUACACUGUACUUUUAUCGAUGCGGGGAUCCUUCUAUACAUGCAAUGAGUCAAAUCCACCAUUUCAGGACUAUCCCAGUUUCUGGUCCUCGGAGCUACCCUGAGAGAAUAGCGGUUAUGGGAGACCUUGGCCUUACUUACAACACAACUACCACAAUAAGUCACUUGAAAAGUAACAAUCCUGAUCUUGUUCUAUUGAUUGGUGAUGUUACUUAUGCAAACCUCUACCUCACAAAUGGAACUGGCUCUGACUGCUAUUCUUGCUCAUUUCCAAACUCUCCAAUACAUGAGACCUAUCAGCCUCGAUGGGAUUACUGGGGAUGGUUAAAACAUAAAUUGCUUUAUUUCUAUCGCAUACAAUGGCUGCUGUAAAUUAUGGCAUAGAACUUGUUUUCUUAUGUUGUCAUUGCUGGGUAAUUUGUGUAGGUAUAUGCAGAGUUUAGUGUCCAAAGUUCCAAUAAUGGUUGUUGAAGGGAACCAUGAAAUAGAAGAACAGGCUGAAAAUAAGACUUUUGAGGCUUAUAGUUCUCGUUUGAGAAAACAAAUUUAAUGUGAAAUUAAUUGGUACUUGGUUCCCUCAUUGCUAAAACACAUAAUACAAAUCUUAUUUGAAACGCUAUCAGAAACAAUGACCUUAUCUUGAAACUCGUAUCACAACAGUACCAUUUGGUUCCGAUCCCAAGCAUGUUUUUAUUAAGUUGUCCUUGGUGUCUAUGAAUGACGAACAAUUUUCCUCAUUGUAAUUAAUUAUCUUUUUGCUUUAAAGUGCACUGAAUAUUCUUCAAUUUUCUUGAAUAAAACAAUAGGUUCAUGCCUACAAGAGAUCGAAUCGAGAUUAUGAUUACAACUUAGAUUCCUGUGGUCCUGUGUAUCUCACCGUUGGUGACGGGGGUAAUCGGGAGAAGAUGGCAGUUCAACAUGCUGACGAACCUGGUCAUUGCCCAGAGCCAUCAACUACUCCUGAUCAACACCUAGGUGCUGGUGCCUUUUGUGUAGAGAAAUUUACCUCCGGCCCAGCAGCAGGUAAAUUUUGUUGGGAUCGGCAACCGAAUUACAGUGCUUUCAGAGAAAGCAGCUUUGGCCAUGGGAUCCUUGAGGUACUCCUUUUUGUGUUUUUAUGUUUGGCAUAUAUCCAGUCUGACAAUGCAUUCAAUUGUCUAUAAACGUUAUAACUUAAUAUGUACGACCCUAAACUACAUAUGAUACAACUUGAAAAUGAUUGAUGGAAAGAUGAGCAUGUGCUUGACAGUCAAUGUUAUGGAACCAGUUUAAAUCAUUUUUACCACUCCACUGCAAUGUUGAUAGAGUUUGUGAUUUUAUAUGGUUUUGUGAUUUUAUGAAGUAUCAAAGCACGAAAUAAAAAAAAUAAAAAAUCAAUGAGAUUAUGAUCUCUGCUCAGAAAGCAGGAAGGAAUGAAGGUGCGAAGAAGGUGAAGAGAUUUCUCCCUUGGAUUCUAUUAAGCUAUAACUGAAUUGAUACAUCUAGAAGCAUAGAGUGGAGGGUGAGAUAUAGCGUUUGAGGGCACACUCACUCAUCAACCUCACACACUCACGUGUAUAGCACAUGCUCACCUAUAAGUGAGUUGCUAUGCCAUGUGACACAUAUCUAGCCUAUUACCUUUGAUUGAAUUUGAGCCCUACAUUACAAACUAAGAACAAACACCUUGAAUUACAAAGGAAAAUAAGAAACUUAAAUCAGAAAGCAGCUACAAGGCUUAAACAUCAACAUUCUCCUUUAAGCUGGCAGCUGAUUUGACUCCUAACAUCUCUCUAAAAUAGUUGAACUUCUCCUUUGGUAGGGCCUUAGUCAAGAUAUCUGCCAUUUGUUCUUCAGAUUUGCAGUAAACAAGCUAAAGUUCCUUCUCUUAUAUUGCAUCCCUGAUGAAGUGAAAUUUUCUGCUGAUGUGUCUUGUUUUCUGAUGAAACACAUGAUUCUUGACAAUAGCUAUUGCUGAAGUGUUAUCACACAUUAGCAUAGUAGGUUCAACCUGUUCUUCUCCAAAAUCUUAUAGAACAAACCUCAACCACUUGGCCUGAGAUGUUGCUUCUGCAACACUUACAUAUUUAGCUUCUGCAGUGGACAAUGCCACUGUGUUUUGUUUGAUUGAUGCCCAAGAGAACACACCUGAGCCAAGAUUGAAAGCAUACCCUGAUGUGCUUCUCAUGUCAUCAACACUCCCAGCCCAGUCACUGCCACAAUAUCCAAUAAGCAAUGCUGACUUUCGUUUUACAUAUUCAAUGCCAAAGUCCAUAGUACCUUGAAUGUAUUUUAGUACUCUUUUUGCUGUUCUCAUAUGCUUCUUGGUUGGACCAUGCAUGAAUCUUGCCAAGAGACUAGCACCAAACAUUAUGUCUGGUCUAGUGGCAGUGAGGUACAAAAAGCUUCCCACCAAUUUCCUAUACUCAGACUCAUCUGCAGUUUCACUUCCAUCAUUCUUGCAUAGCCUUUCAUUUGCUACAAGUGGUGUUCCCACGAAUUUACAACCCUUUAGUCCAAAUUUCUCCAACAACUUCAUUGCAUAUUUCUUCUGAUGUAUAAAGAUGCUCUUCUUGGUUUGUACAACUCUCAUACCAAGAAAAUGGUGCAGCAAUCCCUAAUCUGUCAUCUCAUAGUGCUGCAUCAUGUCAUUUUUAAAUUUGUCCAGCAAUGUGUCACUACUACCAGUGUACACAAUAUCAUCAACAUACACAGAAACAAUGAGAAUCCCUGAGUUUUCAACCUUAGUGUAUAGAGUGGCUUCACUAGGACUUCUUUUAAAACCAGCCUUGGUGAAGUAGGAAUCAAUUUCAUCAUACCAAGCUCUUGGAACUUGAUUAAGGCCAUAUAAUGCCUUGUUUAACUUGUACACUUUAUCCUCCUUGCCUUCUAUGACAAAACCUUGAGGUUGAUCAACAUAGACUUCCUCCUUGAGUACACCAUUGAGGAAUGCAGACUUUACAUCCAACUAAAAGAGUUGCCAUUCUUUCUGAGCUGCAAGAGCUAUCAAAGUCCUUAUGGUGUCAAGCCUAGCAACUGGUGCAAAAGUCUCAUUGAAGUCAAUUAUUGACUUCUGUGAAUAACCUUUUGCAACCAAUCUAGCUUUGUUUUUCUGAAUGCUUCCAUCAAGAUUCAGUUUUGUUUUGUAUACCCACUUCACACCUAUCAUAGGUUUGCUAGAUGGUCUGUCUACCAGCAUCCAUGUACUAUUCUUUUCAAUCAUGUCUAGCUCAGCUUGCGUAGCUUUCAUCCAAGAUAAAUCUAGAGCAGCCUCUUCAUAGCUUUCAAGUUCCAUAAUGCAAACAUUACACUAUGCAAGAACUUCAUUCAAGGGUCUCCAUUUCUUUGGAGUAAAAUCAUAGCUCUGUGAUAGAUCAAUCUGUGAGCUUGAACCAUCAGCAUUGGAACUCAAACUUUCCUGUGAAAUAUCAGAAGUGAUCUCAGGGAGUAUAAUUUCAUUUGAACUUCUAAUCCUUGAGUUGGUUCAGAUUCUACUAUAUUAGUAGUAAUUGAUGUAUCAAAAUAUUUUUCAGAGCUUACAUUCCAAUCCCAUCUGGGACUCUCAUCAAAUACUACAUCUCUAGACAAUAUAAUUUUAUUAGUGAUAAGAUCAAAUACCCUGUAUCCUUCCUCACUGGUUCCAUACCCCACAAAGACAUAUUUGUGACUGUUGCAUUCAAGCUUGUGUCUAAGAUUCAUGGGAACAUGAACAUAGCACACUGAACCAAAGAUCUUCAAAUGUGCAAUUCCAGGUUUUAUUCCACUAUAGGCUUCAAAAGGAGUCAUUUUAUCCAAAGACCUUGUAGGACACCUGUUGAGGAGAUAUACUGCAAUGUGCACAGCUUCUGUCUAAAACUGGUAUGGCAUGCCUUUUUCAUGUAGCAUAGUUUUUUCCAUUUCCACCACAGUUUUAUUUUUUCUUUCAGACACACCAUUCUGCUGUGGUGUGUAUGACAUGGUUAGUUGCCUUUGAAUACCAGAGACAUUGCAAUAGUCACUGAAUUCAGAAGACAUGAACCACCUCUAUCAUUUUUUAGGUACUUGAUCUUGUGUCCACCCUGCAAUUCUGUCAUUGCAUUGAACCUUUUGAAAUACUCAAAUGGCUAGGAUUUUUAUCUCAGAAAAUAAACCCAUGUCAUUCUAGUACAAUCAUCAAUGAGCAGAAUAAAGUACUUGUUUCCAGCAUUUGAAGCAAUUUGCAUUGGACCACAGAUAUGUAUGUACCAAUUCAAGUGGGAAUUUAGCUCUCCAAGCAAAUUCUCUUGGAAAUUCAUCUCUACGUUGCUUGCCAAGCAUACAUCCUUCACAAACAUUCUUGGAAUCUUCCAAGUGAGGCAGCCCAUGAACCAUUUCUUACUCCCUAAGUUGCAGCAAACUUCUUGUGUUUAAAUGACCAAGCCUCUUGUGCCAAGUCUGAGUACAAUGAGAUACACUAGCUUUCAGUGCUAGUGGUGUAGCAGGCAUCAUGGUUAAGGGAAAACACAUGUUGCCAGUCAUUUGAACCUUAGCAACCAGUCCAUUCAAGUUCUAGCUAUCAUAAAUACAAACUACAUUACCACCAAAUAGUAGAUAGUAACCAUGUUUCAACAUUUGCCCCACACUUAGGAGAUUUUCCUCCAAGCCAGGCACCAUCAUCACUUCUUGUAUGUGUUUUCUUCCCAUCUUAGUUUCAAUGACAAGUGUACCUAUUCCUGCUACACUCACAACUUCACCAGUUCCCAUUUUUACUCUUGCAUUCAGGUUUCUACUCAUAUUCAUCAGCAAGCUUUCAUUCCCUAUCAUGUGGUUGCUGCAACCACUAUCAAUGUACCAAGUAUUAUUGACUUUCACCUGAGUCACAAAAUUGCAAGCAAAGAAUAAGGUUCCCAUAUCAUCAACCUGAUUUGCAUAGUUGGCCUUCUGCACCAUUUUGUUCCCAUUGCAGUUUCUGGUUUCAUGAUCAAAUUUAUUGCAAUUUGUGCAUUUAGGUUUUCCUUCAAACCAGCACUUUCCAUAGUGCAGUUUAUCACAAUGUUUGCAAGCUGUUUUGUUCGAAUCAUGAGAAUUAUUCUGCUUAGAGACAAGGUUGGGCUUGUUAUCCCACUUUUUCCUUUUGUUCUUCCAAUUUUUUCCUGAUUUUUGAGUACCGGAGAACCCACUGGGUUUUUGAAACUUAGACCCAACAUUUAGACUAACAAAUGCCUUUUCAUUAGAGUUUUUAGCAUGCAUAUCUAGCCUUUGUUCAUAACCCUUCAGAGAGGCAACAACUUCUUGGAUUUCAAGGGUUUCAAUAUCCUUUGAUUGUUCAAUCACAGCACAGAUAGAGUCAUAACUUCUAGGCAAGCUUAUAAGUAAUUUUUGAACAACCCUGUCCCUAGAUAGUUCUUCACCAUAACCCCUUAUUUGAUUCAUGAGGUCAAACAAUUUAGUAAGGUAUGUAGAUAAGGAUUCAUCAUCUAUCAUCCUAGUGUACUCAAAUUCUCUGCUUAAACCUUGUAAUUUCACAUUUCUAACCUGUUUGUCAUCUCUGAGUUCUUGCUGUAGAAUAUCCCAAGCUCCCUUGGAGGUUUCUUCGUUAGAGAUCCUGGGGAAAAUCUGAUCAAUGACAGCUCCUUGGAUCAACCCAAGAGCCUUAGCAUCCUUCAUUAUGAUCUCCACAACGUUUGGAGUUUCAGUAGCUGCAUCAUUCUCCUUCUUUUCAUCAGCUACCAUAACCACAAUAGAUGAUUAUGGGAUAGUAAACCCAGUCUCUACGAGCUCCCACAGUCCAUGAGACUAGAGGAUGGUUCGCAUUCUGAUAUUCUAGAAUUCAUAGUUCUCACCAUUGAAAAUGGGAGUGCGAAGCUCAGAACUCGUUGUUCUAGCCAUAUUAGACUCAGAUCUUCGAUUUUCACAGAUUUUCAAAGCGCGAUUCUUCAGCAAUGAAGCUUAGGGAAAACAAUUCAUUGAAGAACACAGAAAUCACAUAUUCAUGCCCAGAUUAAAGCGAUGAACCUGGCUCUGAGGCCAUGAUAGAGUUUGUGAUUUUAUAUGGGUUUGUGAUUUUAUGAAGUAUCAAAGCAUGAAAUCAAAAAGAAAUCAAUGAGAUUAUGAUAUCUGCUCAGAAAGCAUGAAGGAAUGAAGGUACGAAGAAGGUGAAGAGAUUUCUCCCUUGGAUUUUAUUCAGCUAUAACUGAAUUGAUACAUCUAGAAGCAUAGAGUGGAGGGUGAGAUAUAGUCGUUGAGGGCGCACUCACUCAUCCACCUCACACACUCACGUGUAUAGCACAUGCUCACCUGUAAGUGAGAUGGUAUGCCAUGUGACACACAUCUAGCCUAUUAGCUUUGAUUUAAUCUGAGCCCUACAUUACAAACUAAGAACAAACACCUUGAAUUACAAAGGAAAAUAAGAAACUUAAAUCAGAAAGUAGCUGCAAACAUCAACAAAUGUCACGAGAAAAUCACUUCGCACCAAUAUCUGUUUAUAUGGGGUGCGAAAAUCCUGUGACUAACUUGAAUACCCUUGAUCGGUUAUUGAGUAGCAAACAUAUAGAUGUAGGCUAGUAGGCUAGAAGUCUGCUGAGAAUGUAUAUACUAGAAUUAUAGCUCAGUUUCACCACCUGGAUUAUACAUUAACCGUGCAUUUUGAUGUGCAUAACUUGCAGGUGAAGAAUAAGAUUUGGGCUUUGUGGACAUGGUACCGGAACCAGGACUCCGACAAUAAAAUUAGAGAUCGAAUUUAUAUAGUGAGGCAGCCUGAUAAAUGCUGCAUCCGCCAUGCGUUCUAAAGUUGGCUUGCUGGCCUCUAAUUCUCACUGCUGCUUGCUGGGAAAAUUAUUAUUAAGAUACCAACUCAAGUGACCAUUCUUAUCUAGAUAGGAAUAGGACGGAAGGUGCAGAAAGAGUAGGAAGAUGGGGUUUCACCUAUGUAUACACACUACAUAUAUGGGGAGAGGGAGAGAGAAAGAGAGCAGAAGACGAAAAGCAACUCCGUUAUUGUGGUAUGUAGCUGAUAAAAUCUCAUUUAUACAUCUCCAUUGUAACUUGAAUAUAUACUCUCAACCAAUUUAUACAACAAAAAAUGUGUAAGAUUGGUUCCUGGAGCAAUUUCAGAUAUCGAAUUCUGAACUAUUUGCGUAUUUUGUUGAGUUACUGCAAAUUGGUUCAACUGAUGAACCAAAAAUUUCCCCUCCCCCUAUUAUGAAGCCAAAAAAUUGUUGGAAGUGACUUUUAUAUUGUCACUUAGUGUUACAAGUUCACUAAUGUUAUGGUGGCACCGCUUAUAAGGGUGGUGUUUCGACAAAACCCUUAGCUCCCGAGCUCACAAUGCACCCCGCCUAUAAGUCAUUCGGAGUUUGGAAGGAGCAAUGAGGUUUGCUAUAACCUCCGUACAAAAAACCUUCAACAACUUCCCAUACAUUGUAUUCUCCAUUAAAUUCCAGGCCAGGGGUUCCACCUCCAUCUCAUAUAAUUUCUUACCGUCUCUUGUCCAAAACAUUUGUAAUAUUGUGCCAAUUAUGUUAUAUAUUUGCAGGAUGCAUAGCAAUUUGGUGUUAGUAAAACAUUGUCUGCCGCAUAUUUGAUCAUGUUUUAACUUAGGAAUUUCAUGGUCUAGUUAAUUUUGACGAAUUUGAAAGGCUUUUAAAACAAAUUAGAAUCAAACUUUCAAAAUUACUACCCCAAACAAAUUGCACUGCAAAUUACCAUAAUCAGAAUUCAUCAGCUCAUGUACAUACUACAUAACAUUUACUUAGGAUAUGAAAUGGUGAGAUCGAUAAAUUCGAAAUCAUCAUUAUAUUGUUGUUCUUAUUACAUUAAUAUAGAUACAUGUAGCCACUAUAUAUAUACCUAUUAGAGUGAAUAACAUACCAAUGCCAUGCCCCACAAUUUGUUGUCCUGACACAAUCGACCGGAUUCGCCGCGUUGUAGUCAAAACAGAUGACGACUUCCAGCAGAUACACGAUCCCCCCGUCAUACUUGCAACGAAGAAGAGGUAUUUUGUUUUGUAUAGUCCUUUGAAUGGUUGAUUCAAGGUCGAUGUAACGAUAUUGAUAUCCUGGUACAAUCCCAGUUGUUUGAGAAAAUAGAUAUUGUGCAUUGUAGGUAAACUAUAUAAGCUUCAUGGAAGUAUUGUGUCUGGGAAAAUUUAUUGUCCGAGCACCUGCCGUGCUUGUUGUAUUGAUCCUCCCAGAAAUCCAUAUUUGUCUGUCUAAUGUUUAAGGUUGGCCAGGAAUUGGACAAAAGUAAUUGCAGAUAAUGAUCAGCAUUCAUCUGAAGCACAAAGAUGAGAAGUUACAAGCAUUUCAGAGAGCUGCAGGAGAAAAAACAAGGGAACUGAAAUGAGUGUGUGUAUAUAUAUAUAUUCGAUGUGUACCUCAUUUCUGUUGAAUACGGUACCAGCGCAGUGUAUUGUACAUCAGACUCCUGGCCCUCAAUUUGUAAAUCAGAUUAAUAGUUUCCAUGGUGAUAGAGUAUUCGGAGGAAAGUCUAAGUAGUAAAAAGAUCGCCGAGGUCUUCCGGCGGCUCGCCUCCAAGCCCAGCCUUGAUGCCAGCUCCCUCUUCUGCAAGCGCUAACUCGCCCUUGAGCGCCUCAGCAGCAUCGCCCUUUGCAUCGGUGCCACCGGCAGCCCGGACCUCGUCGUCGGCCUCCUUGCUUCCAAUUCCGCAAUGUCUGUGCCGUUCACAUUGACGAGCACCUUAACCUUUCGUCGGUGAGGCUGCAUUCUGUUUGAGAAAAUGAAUUUCAUUGAUUAAGAGAAUAAAAUUACAAUGUUGUGGUGUGUGUGUGUGUGUGUGUAUAUGUGUGUGUGUAUAUAUAUAUAUAUAUAUGUAUGGAUACCCUCUACACUCUCACAUAACUCUAACCUUCUAAACACCUAGCCACCUAUACAACAAUCUCAACUAAUCACUAGUCUAAUACAACAAACUAACUAGCUCUAAGUUUUAUCACCAAUUGAAUCUUUAACAAUAUUAUCCUUAACAUCCCCUCCUCAAACUGAACUGAGGAGUUCGAAGGGACAAUUUGGAUCUUAAGAGCUUAAACCAGUCUUUGGAAAGAGAUUUUGUGCAGAUAUAUGCAAUUAAGUUCCCCGACGCGACUUCGAAUGAUUUUGUAACUUUUUCGAUUUGGGUAAGCCUCAAAACACUCCAAAUGUUUCUCUUUUCGUCCCUAUAGUUCUUUUAUGACCACGUUGUUGUGUUUUGGACAUCAAAAUAUGAAGAAACACCUCGGAGGACUAUAUUCCAUGUUUUCUGGCGAGGUGCUGGAACUUGCAGACGUUUUCUGAUCAUAUUUCAGCCACGAGGAAGGUAUAUUUCGACUCCUUGCUUCACGGGCUUCAUUUUGGUAUUUUAGUUCACUUGUUUUGACUAAGUUUCGAGCUCCAUCAAAGCUCGGGCAUUCUCUAGCCAAUUUUUGGCCUUCUUAUUCCUUUGGUCCGAUGACCCACAACCUUAGACCCAAAACCCUUUUUACCCAGCCCAUUUGGGUAGCCCAAUCCCUUAUCCUUUAAACCAAAUGACCCAAUUAAAUAAUCGGGCUUUCAAGCCCAAAACCCUAGUCUAACUAGGCCCUUAGGCCGUGCACCUAGGCCCAGGCCCAUCGCCAAUCCAGCCCAUUAAACCCAAACCCUUGACCAUUUGAAACCAGGCUUUUGGGCCUAGGUCCCUUCAGCCUAAACCCACCAGCCCAACUCGGAUGGAAUAUUCUUUGGAAUAUUCCGUCAGAGAAUAUUCUGUCAAGGAAUAUUCUUUGGAAUAUUCUUAGUGUUGACUUUUUAUUGACUUUUUCGAAAUUUACCCGGAACCCUUUUUAGGGUAAUUCGACGUCCUGAAUCCAUUUUAGACAUCCGUUUUCCCAAAUUCAAUCAUUUGAAUAAAGUUUUAUUAAUUGGACCAUUUAUGUGCUUAUGUGCAAUUAUUUACAGCGAUUCCGUCAUUUUUAUUUCAUAUGGCUCUACAACGACGGAGUAUCUGUGAGUGGACUCCUUCUAAAAUGCAUGUUUUAAUACUAGAAAUGCAUACAUAAAAAGCCUAAUUUAAUUAUUACUUUUUAUGAAACGUUUUUAUGAGAUAUUAUGCUUACUGAGAAUAUUUUGAAUUACCAUAUUUUAUCGAACUCAUGUUCUAUGUGGUAUAGAUGAUGGAUGACUUUAUACUGCUUAUGAGCAUGCUUUUGCACACUUCUUUAUAGUAUAGGUGAUGGAUGACUUUAUACUAUGAAGAUGUUUUUAAGAUAUAUAUAUACCUAUGUUUGGAAAGUCUAUGUUCAAUGGUUUUGUGCUUAUCUAGUGGUCACUAUACCGCCACGGGCGAGGAUUAUGGUUGUUGGCUGUGGGCCGGGAGAAAUAAUCUCUGGCUUCGGGCCGAGAGACAUGGAGUUGGCAUUGGGCCAGGAGAAAUAAUCUUUGGCUACGGGCACAGAGACAUAAAAGCUGGCAUUGGGUCGGGAUAUUAUUAUUGGAUACCAUUAUGUAUCACACUAUUUACGAGAUAUGUUUUAUGAAGGUUUUAUGGCAUGCUAGGGUUUUCGGAAAACCUAUUACAUAUUAUACUAUUGAAUUUCCAUAAAACUUUGGUGGUUAGUAUGUUGAUAACUGUUUUAGUCUAUAUAUAUAUAUAUAUAUAUAUAUAUAUAUAUCAACUUGGUCCACUCAUGUUUGUUUUGCGCCCCCUCAGGACUUAGAAUUGAGGUGUACAAUCCCGACGUCAAGGCACUUCCGAUUCGGCAGCUUUGAGGCCUCUCGGUGUAGAACCCAUUCCUUUGCUCCUUCAAUGUUAUAUUUUUUCUUUAGUGUUCUAGAUUAGUUGUAUGCUCUGAACACGUUCCUCAUUUGCAUAUUAAUUAUAAUUAAAUUUAUAAGUCUUAUAUAUUUCGGGUUCUCAUGCAUUCUAAUAUGGCUUCGUCACCUUAGGGUGUUGGCCAACACGUUCCUACCCUGGUGUUCGGGGAAUAUCAGGGUUGGGCGUGUCAACAUGGAAGAUGGAAACUAAUAUCAGCAAGUAACUGACAUAUCCAUGUAAUUUCAGCUGCAGUAUUAGCUAGAGAUCGAUACUCUGCCUCUAUUGAAGAACGAGCCACUAUUGGUUACUCCUUAGCACUCCAAUUGAUGAUAGAUGAACCCAGAAAAAUACAAUAACUGCCAGUUGAUCUUCGAUCAAGUGUGCAACCUGCCUAGUCAGCAUCUAAGAAGGCUUUGAGAGAUGGAACAGAGACAGAUUAUGUAAACCAAAGACCAAUGUCAAUGGAACCCUUAAGAUAUCGAAUGAUCAUUUUGACAGCUUAAAAAUGAGACUGCCUUGGAUUGUGCAUGAAUUGACAAACAAGAUUGACUACAAAUCAUAAAUCUGACCGAGUCCAAGUAAGAUAUUGUAAUACACCAACCAAAGAUCGAUAUUCUGUAGGAUUAUCAAGCAAUGGAGAAGAAUGAUCCAACUUAGAUGUAUUGAGUGGGGUAACACAUGGUUUUGCUCUAGCCAUGUUAGUCUUCUUUAACAGAUCCAAGAUAUACUUGGUUUGUGAAAUAAAGAUGCCUUUGGAGGAUCGCUUGACUUCAAUUCCCAGAAAAUAAUGAAGUGCACCAAGGUCUUUGAUGAGAAAGAGAGAGCUAAGUUGAGAAAUUACAUGUUUCCAAGCUGCUACAGAUGGCCCUGUGACAAUAAUGUCAUCAACAUAUAUCAGAACAAAGACCAUAAGAUCCCUUUUGACAAACAAUGAAUGAUCUGAUUUAGAACUAGUGAAGCCAAGAGUAUGCAAUGCGCCAUGGAAUUUUUCAUACCAGGCUCUGGGAGCCUGUUUAAAACCAUAUAGGGAUUUAUGCAGUUGACAAACAUGAGUAUGGUGAAUAACAUCUUCAAAACCAGGCGGAUGUUGCAUAUAAACAGAUUUAGACAAUGUCCCAUGCAGAAAAGCAUUGCUUUCAUCUAGUUGACUGAGACUCCAAUCAAAUUGGGCAGCAAGAGUGAGUAUGAGUCGAAUUGUCACAGGCUUGGCUACUGGACUAAAAGUCUCAGUAUAAUUAAGUCCUUCUUGCUGAUGAAAACCUUUGGCAACUAAGAAAACUUUGUACUUAUCUAUGGUACCAUCAGGUUUUCUUUUAAUCCUGAAAACCCAUUUACAUCCUACAAUGUUUUGAUGAGCAGUUUUGGGUACUAAAGACCAAGUACCAGUUUGUUGGGAGGCAAGAAACUCAUCCUGCAUUGCCUUAACCCAAUGUGGAUAUUUAGAAGCUUGGAGAUGUGUAGUGGGGACAAAUUCAUAUGAAAAUUAAGAAAGGAGAGGAUGUUUGCUUGCAGAAAAGGCUUUUGGUUUGUAAAUACCAGAUUUGGACCUGGUUUGCAUAAGGUGAGUAUUAGUAGGAACUGAGUGAGAUGUAGGUAUAAGAGAUAUAGGUAUAGGGGCUAUUGGAGAAGAGCUACUUGGAAAUAUAUGAGAUGGAGAUGAUGGUAUAGGGGAAUGAAUAUGUGGUUGAGUGAAUGUGAGGUGAAUGGGAAUGGUAUUGAGAGGUGAAGAUGCUGCUGAGGGAAAAGAGCACUGUGAAACUGCAAUAGUGUUAAAGGGAAAACUGCCUUCAUCAAAGAUCACAUUUCUGAGAUGUAUAACUUGUUGGUAGUAAGAUCCAAACAUUUGUAACCUUUUUGGUUAAGGCUGUAAUGAAGGAAUACACAUAACUUUCUUUUGGGAUCCAAUUUAGACUCAGAGUAAGGUUGCAGCCAUGGAAAACAACUACACCCAAAAACCUUCAAGGUGGCAUAGUUAGGUGAUCUGUGGAAAAGACGUUCCCAUGAAGACAAUCUGGAUAAAGUAGGUAAUCUAUUUAUGAGAAACACAACUAUGGAAAAAACAUGAUCCCAAUAGGUGUAAGGGACCUUAGAAACUGUUAAAAAUGUUCUGGCAGUCUCAACUAUGUGUCUGUGCUUGCAAUCAGCACAACCAUUCUGUUGAGGAGUGUAUGGACAACUUAGUUGAUGACUAAUACCAUUUUCAACAAGGAAAUUAGAGAAUUGAGUGCUAAGAUAUUCCCCACCAGAUCUGAUCUGAGAGCAACAAUUUUAGUAUGCAACAAGUUCUCAACAAGACUUUUGAACUUAACAAAAGUAGGAAACACAUUAGAUUUAUAUUGCAAAGGAUAAAGCCAACAAUAUUUUGUAAAAUCAUCUACAAAGAUGACAUAGUAUCUGAAAUUGUUCACAUAAGUGACGGAUGUUGGCCCCCAAACAUCUAUGUGAAGUAGCUCCAAAGGUUUACUGGUAUGACAAGGUACAUAAGCAAAUGGCAAUCUGGAACUUUUGCUUAAGGCACAACCAUUAUAGAAAGACUUAUUAGAACCAUUAGAAAACCAAAUACAAUACUUAGUAGCCAACUUAUUGAGAAUCUUCAUCGAAGGAUGGCCAAGUCUUUGGUGCCAAAUAUUUCUAGAUGUGUUAACAGAAGCAGCAAACACAUUGUGAUUGUGGAUCACAUAACUGGAAGCCUAUAGUUGAAAUAGAUAGAAGCCAUCUCUCACAUGACCUUUAAAGAGCAUCUUUCCAGAAGAAAUAUCCUUCACAGCGAAGUGAUAAGGAUAAAGAUGCAUAGAACACCAAUUAUCAACAAGAAACUGAUUUGCAGAAAGCAUAUUUUGUUUCAAAUCAGGAACAUGCAACACAUUUCGAAGUUGAAAAUUAUGAUGAGGAGUAUGUAAUGCAGAAGAACCAGAGUAGAGAAUGGGCAAACCUUUGAAGAGUGUUGUAAGAAUUGGUCAUGUGAGUACUAGCACUGGAGUCAACAAUCCAAGUAAGUUGAGGAGAAAGUGUGCUUGCAGCCAUAGCAGAAUGAGAAGCAUUGCUGGAAUAAUGUGGAUUCAUGCGCUAGGGACACUCGAUUGCAUCAUGCUCAAACUAGCGAAAAAUUUGGCAUGGAAUCCUCAUUCCAGAGAAAUUGAAGGAUGAUCAACUACCACGGUUGUAACACUGAGAGUUGUUGCGAGAAAAAUUUAGAUGAUAGUUGUUAGAACGGAAGUUGCUUCAUCCUUGGAAGUUUCUAGGGUUGGAGAAACCACGAUCGCCACCAUGACCUUGAGAGAAAUUACGAUCACCACCACGACCUGGAAGAUUAUGUUGAGCAACAAAGGCCUGAGAAUGUGGAGUAUGAAGGAUGCCGGUGGUGGAGUUGUACGCCUGAAUUGGCACUAUCGAAGUAGUUUUCUUCCAAUUUGUUAACUGAAUCUCUAUACUAAGAAGAAGACUAUGCCGCUCAUCAAGUGUGGUGGAACCAAGCUGGAAUUGUAUCGCAUCAACAAAAGAUUCGUACUCUGAUGGUAAAUCGUGAAAUGUGAUAGAGAUUAAUUCAGAAUCCUUAACUGGAGCACCGACAUUGGCAAGAGCAUCAUCGAUCUCUUGAAUUUGUUGAAGAUAUUGAGCAGUUGUGGAAUCGCCCUUUGAAAUGCUGUGUAAACAUGAUCGGAGCUCAUGGAUGUGCCAUUGAGACGCCAUCGCAAGGCGUGACUCCAAUUUUACCCAAAGUUAUCUGGAUGUAGUAACUCUAACAAUGUAAGGAAUGAUCGAUUUAGAAAGCAUGGAAUCGAUCCAGAUGAGGAUGUUCUUAUCAUUCUCGAACCAAGAAACAUAUGCCGGAUUCAGAAUUUGAUUUCCAACAGCAUUAGAGAUGAAUUGAGCUGGAGGAGGCAUCGAUCCAUCAAGAAUUCUAGUGAGAUUAUAGCGACGGAAGAUCGAAGAAAAUAAUGCACUCCAAGUGAGAUAAUUGGUCAGAGUCAGCUUGAUCGGCACCAUGGAUUCGAUAUUCUGGAUCAUGAUUAAAGGUGUGGAGAGAGUAGAACUAGAAUUUGAGAGAAGAUCAGGAUGAAUUUGUGUUGCCGAUUUAGAAGAAGGAGAAGCUGAGGUCGCCAUGGGAGAUAGUUAGGGUUUGGCAGUGAAAGCUUAGGAAGGAAGAAAGCUUAGCGAAGAAGCUGGAGAGGGGAAAGCGUGGAUUGGAUCAAGUCGGUAGACAGAAGGCGGGUGAUACCAUGUUAGAGAAAAUGAAUUUCAUUGAUUAAGAGAAAAAAAAUUACAAUGUUGUGGUGUGUGUGUGUGUGUGUGUGUAUAUACACCCUCACAUAACUCUAACCUUCUAACCACCUUGCCACCUAUACAACAAUCUCAACUAAUUACUAGUCUAAUACAACAACCACAACAAACUAACUAGCUCUAAGUUUUAUCACCAAUUCAAUCUUUAACAAUACCAUCCUUAACACAUUAUGCCAAUGGCUCCGCCGAAAACGUGCUUGAUUUGAACAGCGUAUCAGAUGUCAGUAUGACUGCUAUCAGCAACAGAUUCCCCAAGCUCGAAAAUCUGAGCUUAAUCUGGUGCUCCAAUGCCUCUAGUAUCGGUCUAAUUUUGCUGAUAAGUGUAAACUGUUGAAAUCGUUGGAUUUGAUAGAGUUGAAUUUUAAUGCUUGAAGUCUGCAAUUCUUCGUUUGAAUACUUAACUGGACUAUCAGUGAUCCACAACUCCCUGGUUGGUAGCUACUUGGCAUCCUUCCUGGUAUAGUACCUACGAAGCCCUUUACAGAGAGGCAGAAUGUAUGAGGUAGCAAACAUAUAGAUGUAGGCUAGUAGGCUAGAAGUCUGCUGAGAAUGUAUAUACUUGAAUUACAGCUCAGUUUCACCACCUGGAUUAUACACUAAGCGUGCAUUUUGAUGUGCAUAACUUGCAGGUGAAGAAUGAGACUUGGGCUUUGUAGACAUGGUACCGGAACCAGGACUCCGACAAUAAAAUUGGAGAUCAAAUUUAUAUAGUGAGGCAACCUGAUAAAUGCCGCAUCCGCCAUUUGUUCGAAAGUUGGCUUGCUGACCUCUAAUUCUCACUGCUGCUUGCUGGGAAAAAUUUAUUAUUAAGAUCCCAAAUCAAUUGACCAUUCUUAUCUAGAUAGGAAUAGGAUGGAAGGUUGCAGAAAGAGUAGGAAGAUGGGGUUUCACCUAUGUAUACACACUAUAUAUAUAAGAGGAGGGGGGUUGGGGGGGUGGGGGGUGGGGGAGGGGGCGGGGAGAGAGAGAGAGAGAGCAGAAGAAGAGCAACUCCGCUGUUGUUGUAUGUAAAUGAUAAAAUCUCAUUUAUACGUCUCCUUUGUAACUUGAAUAUAUACUCUCUCAACCAAUUUAUACAACAACAAACGUGUAAGAUUGGUUCCUGGAGCAAUUUCGGAUAUCGAAUUCUAUUAUAUAUUUGCAGGGGUUCCACCUCCAUCUCAUAGAGAUUAUCAUCACCUGUUGUUUCUGUGAAUAAUGUAAUUUCUUACCGUCCCUUGUCCAAAACAUUUGUAAUAUUGUGCCAAUUAUAUUAUAUAUUUGCAGGAUGCAUAGCAAUUUGGUGUCAGUAAAACUUUGUCUGCCGCAUAUUUGAUCAUGUUUUAACUUCGGAAUUUCAUGGUCUAGUUAAUUUUGACGGAUUUUGAAAGGCUUUUAAAACAAAUUAGAAUCAAACUUUCGAAUUUACUACCCCAAACAAAUUGCACUGCAAAUUACCAUAAUCAGAAUUCAUCAGGUCAUGUACGUACUACAUAACAUUUACUUAGGAUAUGAAAUGGUGAGAUCGAUAAAUUCGAAAUCAUCAUUAUAUUGUUGUUCUUAUUACAUUAAUAUAUAUAUAUAUGUAGCCACUAUAUAUACCUAUUAGAGUGAAUACGAUACCAAUGCCCCACAAUUUGUUGUCCUGACACAAUCGACCGGAUUCGCUGCGUUGUAGUCAAAACAGAUGACGACUUCCAGCAGAUACGCGAUCCGCCGGUCAUACUUGCACAUAAGAAGAGGUGUUUUCCCUCCUAUAGUCCGUUGAACGGCCGAUUCAAGGUCGAUGUAAUGAUAUUGAUAUCCUGGUACAAUCCCAGUUGUUUGAGAAAAUAGAUAUUGUGCAUUGUAGGUCAACCAUAAUCUAUAAGCUUCGUGGAAGUAUUGUGUCUGGGAAAAUUUAUUGUCCGAGCACCUGCCGUGCUUGUUGUACUCAUGCGCCCAGAAAUCCAUAUUUGUCCGUCUAAU
rnacentral:lncRNA from 1 species